CAUGGGAGUGAAGAGGCAGAGGAUCACCGUGAGGAGUGAGUCGCCGGUCGACUAUGCCGCUGAAGCGAGGUACCAGCUCGAGGAGAUCUCCAAGCUCACCUCCAGCUAGAAGAAGAUGCAAGAGGAGUAUGCCUGCUCCCCUUGAGGAGACUCCCAAGCUCACCGCCGCCUGCUGGAAGAAGAUGCAAGAGUAUUGCCUGCCUGCUCCCCUUGAGGAGAUAUGAGACAUCCAGGCUCACCGCUUUGCUAGAUGAAGCCAUGUUUUGGCCCCAAGUUUCCUGAAGUGUAGUGCUGCUUCAGCUGUGUCUUUCUGCCGUGUCGCUCCUCAAAUGUAGUGAUCACUUAAAAACGCUUUUGCUGUCCUGUGUUAUAUAUGUAGACGUUCGGUUUGGAGGACAUCGGAGUAUUCUUCUGUUCUAUCUGUUUGAUCUGCAAAUUCCUUCUCCAUCAGACAAGCAUGAAUGCAGAUCCACUGCUAGCUGAUGUUAAACAUAUGUUCUGAACAAGUGUCCUCGUGGCUUAGUAUGCAAGAAUCACUGCACUAUUCUUUAUCUGUGUCCUGGGAAUGUAUAGGUGUAUAAACGUUGUGAAUCCACCUAUCUAGGUUUGAGCACCACAAGGUAGUCUCAGCCUUGCGCUGCUGGGCUUGCUGGGUUGGAUUUGGUUUGUUGGUUGCUGGGAAGGUUUGGGGGAGGAUCUUUUGACUUUGUAGGGGUUAACUACCUCGAUCUUCUCUAAACUGAACAAGCCCUGAAGAUGUAUACCAGACUAACAAUGUAUUCCAUGGAAAGCUACCAACUCAGAAGAUGCGGUUAAGAUGUUCAUCACUUCAGACUGGGUGUCAUGUGAAACAGGUUCCAUCAAUAAUGACUGGUUGCUGGGAGCCGUGAGAAGCCAGCCACUAAGAUCAGUCGCCAUCAUGAAUGGUGACCAGGCUAACAAAGUACUCUAUAGAUGUGAUGAAGAUGUUGCAUCAGUUGUAGGGUGUCAGGAACAUGGUUAGCUACUGACUCCAUGAAACUGGUGCUCCAUCACUAGUGACUGGUUGCUGGUAGCUUUGAGAAGCCACCAAACAACUGACCAGUCGCUGGUUCAUAAAAUUUGCUCCAGCAGGCUGGUUGCCACCAACAAGCUGCUACUGUAUCUACAAGACCAUGGCUGCAGACCCUUUGGUCUUAAGACAACGACAACAACAACAACAACAAUAACAGCAGGAAACAAGUGAUGAUCACCAGAACAACGAGUGAUGUUCAAUCUGUCAUAUGUUUGCUAUUUAGUUGUCUGUAGGAGCAAAUCUCCCACCAUGUCUUCAGUUUAGGAUAAUAAGUAAGUACUGUGAUGUGCAGUCUGUAAAACAUAAAAUGCAGUCUCACGAUGAGAUUUCUAGUUCCAAGCUAAGCUUAGGGCUGCUGAAGCCACACGCGGAGCACUUGCACCACCUGCAUGCAUGCGCGCGCCGGUCUAGAGCGAAGACGACGGGGGGUUCACGACGAUGUGCCUCAUCGGGUGGGCGACUUCGCCGCCUCCAGCAUGCGCCACAAACUCCGCCGGAGUCAGGAAGCUACCAUGGCACACACACACAAUCCUCACCUCCUCAGCUCUGCUGUACUGGUACAGGAAGCCGUCGAUCCUCUCGCCGUUGCGGAGCCCGCUGGUGUACACCACUGGCAUCUUCCGCACCAUGUCUGCCACGCUCCUAGUCCUAGUAGCUCUUGCCGCCGGCCAUUCCGAACCAUCCUUCUGCUCCCCUAUGGAGAUGCCAGGGGCUGCUGCUCUCACCGCCAAUGCUGAAGAUGAAGAGGUUGCCACGGCGCUGCUGUUUGCACCCACAGACGAGGGCAGAACAGCCGAUGACAGGCUCCGCCCUAGAGUGCCAGGAGUUCCUGUAAGAUUACACACCAACAUAUACCUUAGUAAUCAACAGAAGCAAAUCUGAUAGAAUCUGAUACUCCCUCCGUAAACUAAUAUUAGAGCGUUUAGAUCACUAUUUUAGUAAUCUAAACGCUCUUAUAUUAAUUUACAGAGGGAGUACAAGGUAGGAACAUUGAAAUAAAAACCAACUGCUACUAGUUACUACUAAACAACAGCAUGUAUAGAACAGUCCGAAUCUAUCAGUAGUUGCUUUACAACGAGGGUUGGUUAGCAUAGUCAAUUAUUGGUAUCCUUGCAGUUCCUGUUCAAGGACAUGUUCAAUAGGACAAAUACUGUAACUGCACGGUUUUGGUCCAGAGGGCAGGAUGAAUCUAAGCCACAACUUAAUUUGGUGGGUGUAUGUUGCUUGGCUUGGUAGUUCAGACGGCAAAGCCAAGUACCUACUACAUGAUUAAAAUGGCAUAAUUUUUGAAGGGUAACACACGGAGGUAAGCAUGCAAGUAGGAACGUAGCAUUGUCAGAUGAAAGUACCAUGCUUGCGAAUUGUGACACGGAAUUUGUUAUGUUAUGUAGUCUAGCAUAAGAAUGCAAUAUAGCAAAAUAUCUUGUGAUGCAGCCUUUCAAAGCUUAAUUAUACCUUUCAAAGCUGAAUUCCUUUUCGGACCUUGUGAUGCAGCUGGAGGCUGAUAUGGUGGAGGAAGCCCACUCAAGCGACGCCUCACAUUGGUACGGUUCAUUCUUUGUACUGUUGCCUUUCCUCCUGCCUGCUCACUCAUUUCAUCUGGGUUCUCUCCAACUUCCCCUACAGAAACGUUGGAAGAGUUCAUCCUGUCGAUACUCCUCUUCAUUUCGAGUUUGUUCAGAGUUUCUGCUAGCUUCCUCUUCCUCCACCCGUCCUCGAUGCCAGCAGGGAGUGAACUUGUCCUCACGAGGAUUCCUGCAGAAGAUAUUGUCAGACCAUCCUCGAAGUAAUGCACCCUCGCUUAAACUAAUACUCCCUCCGACCCAAAAUAAGUGUCGCAGUUUUGCACUAAGGUUAGUUCAACCUUAGUUCAAAACUGCGACACUUAUUAUGGAUCGGAGGGAGUAGUACUUUAUAUAUGGCAAGAUGAUGGGUUAAACUGGAUCCAUAUAUUAAGUAUCACAUGUCCUUACAAAAACACCCUUUACAAAAAAGAAAGAAAACACUUGAUAGUACUGAUGGUCAUUUCAGGCAAUACUGAAGUUCUUGACUGGACCAAUGUAUAAUUGACAUCUUACAUAAAUAGAUGUGGAGAUGACCCUAAUGCCCCAGUACACUAUAUUGGCGUGCUUCAACAAGUAAGGAACAACGAGAAACCAGCAGACUCCCAAUGAAAAUGCAUACUAGUAACGGUACUGGAAACCUUUUUUCUACCACGAAAUAACUUUGGCAUAUAAGAAUAAGACCCCACUUUCAUCAAUCAUGAUGUGGUUGGCUGGUUCAAAACUUGCCCUGUAUCAAUGGAACGAACUUUUUAACCACAUGUUCGGCAUAAUACUAAUAUAUCCGCUCCAAUAGACCCUUUUGAAAAUAUAUCUAAUUAAUCUUGAGGCAAAAUGGUUAUUUAGACCAAAAAUGAAUCAUGCAGACGUAAAUAUUAAAGGCAAUGAAACAAAGGGGAAUAUGUGCACCAUAUGGAAGCAUGUUUUGGGGGGAUCUGGUCUGGGAGAAGGGGAGGGUUGUUUGCCAACUUGCACUCUGGCAACCAAUCAUGUGUGAAUGUGUGAUGUCUCUUGCCGACGACAAGUGGUGGUCGUGACGGGGCUGCCGAAAUCCAUGCUCGGAAUAGCUUCCUUGGUGUACAGUGGACAUUUCUAGUGUUGCUCGGACAUCCGUGUUAACUUCGAUCGCCGAGUCUGACUCUCCGAAUCCAUGUGGAUUCAUGGAUUCGAAUGCUAUUUGCCAUGCCAAAAAGAUAUCAUGCCAAAAUCGGGCACCAUCUGAUACCAGAUCCAAGUAAAUAUUAGACUAGCUAAGCGAGCACGUAGGCUUGACACCGUAAAACAUGCUUGAUAUGGCAUCCUUGGUGUACCAAAUAAUCAAGGUACUACCGUGCAACAAACAUCUCCAGCAUUGUUGCCGUCAAAAAAAAAAAAAUCUCCAGCAUUGCUCGGACAUCCUUGCCAAACUUCGGUUGCCAAGUCAACACCCAUGUUGGAUCAGGCACCAAAAUCCAAUAUUGCGUUUGAGUCAGUAUUUUACACUAGGUAAGUGAGGGCAUAAUUGUACAAUGGAAUGUCGACCAGAACUAUGAGGCCGACGUCAUUUGACUUCUUCCUUGACGAUAGACCUCUAGGGUGUGUAGCUUCGAUUGUCGAGUAUUGCACCCCGAAUCCGUGUCGGAUUUGAGUGUUUUUGACACAUCCAACAAUGUCAUGCUGGAUAAGGCAUCAAGAUCCUCUACCAAGUCUUGAUAAGUGUUAGACUCGUAAGCGAUCAUAUGGCCAUCACAAGGUAUAACGAAAUAGCGAGCUUCAGAGCUAAUAUGCCCAACAAUGAUCAACUUGUUCCUCGAUGAUAUAGACCUCGACAGGUGUCCAAACUUCGAUUGUCAAAUCCGGCACCAUGUCCGAGUAAAUGUUAGAGUAGGUAAAGAACACAUCAGCGUCACAAGAUACAUAGAAAUGGCAAUCGACUACGAUGGUCGACGACGUUCGAGUUGUUCCUAAGCGAUAGACCUUGACGAGGUUCCGACGUUGGUUGCCGAAUAUGAGGGCCCAAAUUUGUGUGAGAUUUGAGUGUUAUUUAUGCCGUGUCCAACAAUAUCAUGCUGAAUAAGGCAGCGAAAUCAUGUAACAAGUUCAGAUAAAUGUUUGACCAGCUAUCAUGUGCUUCAUAAGAUAAAAAGAAAUGGCCAACAUUUGAUGCUACUCUGCCAAUCGAGCACAAUGACAUCGCAAGAAUCAGAACGACAAGCGUCGGAACUAGGAUUGCCAACGAGUUCCAACUUGUUCCUCGACAAUAGACCUUGACGGGUUUCCUACUUGAGUCGCCGAAUAUGACCAUCUCAUGUGCUUCACAAGAAACAAGAAAAUGGCAAUAGCUGAUGCUACUUUGCCAAACGAAAAAAAAUGCUAUACUAGGUAAGCAAGCACAUCGGCGAUGCAAGGUACACGGAAAUGGCGAGCAUCAGGACUAGGAUGGUUGAUAAUGUUUGACUUGUACCUCAGCCAUAGACCUCGACAGGUUCCAACUUUGGUUGCCAAACAAGGCAUCCCAAAUUUGUGUCAUACUUGAGUGUUAUUUGUCAUGUCAAACAAUGUCAUGACGAAUAAGGCACAACAACCGGGUACCAUCCCGGAAGAAUUCGCGUCAUACUUGAGUGUUAUUUCCCAUGUCUAACAAUAUCAUGCCAAAUAAGGCACCGGAACCGUGUACCACAUCCGACAAAAUGUUUGGCCAAGUAUGAUGUGCUUCGCAAGAUAUAGAGGAAUGGCAAGCAUUGAUGCCACUUUGCCAAACGAGUAAAACGUUACAUUAGGUAUACCCGUAAAGUGUCAUCAUAAGGUUUGCCAAAAUGACAAGCAUCCGCAGUAGGAUGGCCAAUGGUGUCCAACUUGUUCCUCGGUGAUAGACCUUGAUGGGUUUAGAACUUCCGUUGCCGAAUAUGACCGCCCGAAGUCGUGUUUCAUUUGAGCGUUAUUGGCCAUGUCCGACAAUAUCAUGCCGAAUAAGGCACAAGAACCGUGUACCACCUCCAAAGAGAUGUUUGACCAAGGAUCAUAUGCUUCGCAAGAUAUAGAGAAAUGACAAGCGUUCAUGCCACUUUGCCAAAUGAGUAAAUGUUACACCAGAUAAACAAGCACAUUGGCCUCGCAAGGUAUGCUGGAACAACAAACAUACGCACUAGGAUGGCCGAGGGGUUCGACUCGUUCCUCAGCGAUAGACCUUGAUGAGCUUUGAACUUCGAUUGCCAAAUAUGGCCGCUCGGAUUUGUAUUGAUGCCGUGUCCGACAAUAUCAUGCUGAGUAAGUAGCCGAAAUCGUGCACCACAUCCAGAUAAAUGUUUGAAUGGUCAUCAUGUGCUUCACAAGAUACAUUGAAAUGGCAGCCUUUGAUGCCACUCUCGAAAAGACUGAAAUGUUACACUAGGUAAGCAAACCUCACUGGCGUCACAAACUACACCAGAAUGGCGAGCAUCAGAACUAGGAUAGAGCAUGUCUUCGACUUGUUCACCACCAACAAACAUCGACGGGUGUCCAACUUUGAUUGUUGGCUAUGAUAUCCCAAAUCCGUGUAGGUCGAGGGCUAUUUGUCUUGUCCAACAAUGUCAUGUUGAGUAAGGCAUAGAAAUCAUGUACAACCUUUGAAUAAUAAAUGUUCGCAAAGCGCCAUGUGCUUCACAAGAUAGAAACAAAUGACAUGCAUUUAACCUAGUCUGCCCAAUGACACUGUACUUAGGGUUUGGUUCCCCGACGACGGUGAUGUGGUGGCGACGACAGUGCCGUGUAGAAUAAGAGUAAGGUUUCCCCAACUUGUUGGCGACGGCCUUGUUAGCGCCUUAGAGUAGGAUGGAGGAUUGUCUAGUCGCUGCUCUUCUGGUGUGUGGAGGAUCUGGUUCCUCUUCAUGCUUUGCAGGUUGUCGUUGAAGGCUUCCUCUGGCGGAGGUGGUCGUCAAAGGCGUCCUCUAGCGGAGGAGACGAUGCGCUUCGUCUCUUGGUCCACUGCCUCCUCCUCCAAACGAUGAAGUUCGGCCAGCUUCGGCUUCGCCCGGGAACUAAUGAGCUUAGGUUUCGCCAGACCCGUUUGUCCGAAUCUAGGUUGCUCGUCCAACUUUCUUCGUUGCAUUCUCCGAGGCGGCGAUAUGUUUUCGUCGACAUCUUCUGUCUCCACCGACAACUUCUUGGCCGCUACAUCAACAACAUUCCUUGGCUCCAGCGGUGUUUCGGAGGUACAAGUGCAGUAUGAAGCAUUGCUUAUGGCGCAUCUCUAGCGAGUGCAGGAGGAAGACGGUGUCAAUUUCCCCGGGAGCCAUGUGUAAGGUUUUGUUUCUUUAAGGAUGGUCCUGUAAGGGUUGGUCGACUUGAAUAAAUGGAUUUUGGCCACUUUACAGAAAAAACACACAAGCUAGUGAGCUAAUAAUUGCUUGUCUCGGCGGCCCUAGUACUUUCUAUCCCUAUAAUAGGCUAGAGAUGGCCGCCCAGGCAGCUACCACACACCCUGCUUAUACCUUGCUUUCCCAUCUUCCUACACUGGUACACAAAUCAUGGCAGAGUUCUAAUAGACCCUGGCACACAAAUAGUUGUGAACAGGACAAAUCCAUUAUACUAAUGUAGAAGUUGUCAAAUAAGCAAGCCAACCGAGCUGUAAGACAGCCAACAAGGAAACACAGAUGGUAACACAUCACCUUAGCUUGCUGAAUCCACCUAAGAUCCAGCGGCCCAGCUAUACUCCAGAGAGAAACAGGGGCGCCUUUUACUCCAUAUACUACUGGUGUACUUUAUUCACUGGCCAGGUGCAAUUGGCAAAUGGCAAUCCCUAAUUCCACUUUCCUAAUGUGCAUUGCAUGAUUGCAUCUAUGCUCAUAGAUUUUUCUUGGGAACAAUGAAACUAUUCAUGUCCUUUGUACCAGAUAAAAACAAUCAUAUCUGUUAAGCCUACCUAACACAAUAUAUUACCAGUGAGAUGUGUGCAUUUUUUUUUUUUUGGAAAUGAGAUGUAUGAAGGUACUAAUACUACCACAUUGCUGAGCUUGAGAAUUAAUUGAGCUAAUAAAAUACUACCACAUGACUAAUACAAAAUUAGUACCGUCACAUUGAAACAUAAGACAGAAAAGAAAAAGACGUACCUUCGCCGUCCGACGAGCCUGUGGACGGGGGGCUCACGCUCGCCCGCAGCUUCCCUACGCCGCCCGACGAGCCUGUGGACGGGGGGCUCAACCUCGCCCGUGGCAAAGCUGCGGGCUCUACCACGACGCCGUUCAGAGCGACACCACUCCCCUGCGGUUGGACCUCAGCGCCGCUCCUAGGCGAAGCGGCGUUGUUCCCCGCCUCCGCCUCCGCCAUAGGCGGCAGGGAGCUUGUCCUGGGGAGCGCGGGCGGCGCCGGCGCCACCUGCUGGAUGCAGGCGACGGACGAGGACCUGGCGAGCCCCUCGCCCCUCCUCCUCUCCUGCCCGAAUCGCCCCCCGAGCGACAGGCCGAGGCUAAGCUCGACCUCCUCGGCCUGCGAAUCCAGGCGCCGCGGCUUCUCCUCGCCGCGACCGGUCUCGCCUCCCCCGCCGACGCCGCGCAGCAGGUCCCUCGAGUAGGCCUCCAUCGCCGGCGAAGCCACGAACUGGUCACUGGACAGAGGAAGCUCCCGGACGGAGUCGUUGCUUGGGUCAGAGGAAGCUCGAUCCCGCGCUCGUCAGAGAAGAGCCUGCCGCCGCGGGGAGGGACAGUCAGGAACCAAGCACAAUUAAGGCCAGCGAAGCGAGAGAGAAACGAAAGCAUAGGAGGAGACUGGCGCGGCUUACGAGGAUUGCGCAGCCUUGGAGGGAGGUGGACGCCAUUGACGUAGAGCCGGUGAUGUGCUGUUCCGGUCUGCUCUGCUCGCCGCUGCCUCGCACGGAGAGGAGGAAGGAGACGCUCCGUCGCAACAAAAAUAAUUUGCUCGUCUCCGGGGCCCUCCGCCCUGCCCUUUUGCUUUCGAGGUGCGAGAGAGGGGGAGGGCUAGUUUGGGAAGCGCGGACACGCGACGAGACGCCGCCCUCCCGGCAGGACACAUGUCGUGACAGGGGGGACGCGUGGCGUGGCUCGCGGCGGAGCCGAGGCCGGAGCUGAAACGCUCGCGCUGGCGCCGGACGGAGCGCGUGGCCUGCGGGGCGUACGUGGAGUCACGGGCGCGAGCGGCUGCGGCUGCGCGGCGCCUCCGCGCUUCAGUUUCGCCUCCCUGACUUGUCUCGACCGAGCGGAGGGGGGGCCUUUUGGCCCGGUCUCCGGCGAAACUGCGUGCACGACCAACGGACGAUGACGAUGCAAGUCGCCGUGUCAGUCUAUCUAUAUCUAUCUAUCUAUCUAUCUAUCUCUAUCUAUAUCUGUCUAGCCGCUUAAAGGGCGACCGUUUUCUGUCUCAUGCUUGUUUUCGGCUACUUUUUAAUGCUUUUAAGUAGAAUAACACAAAACUUCGGGAUAAGAAACUAUUCUACUACACGGCAGGUACUUAGAGCAUGGAUCUGCACCCACUUGUCGAACAAGUGUCUGUGUCCACGUGUUGGAGAGAUGGCUUUGAUUAUGAUGGACGUUUUACUUUUACCAGCCAACUCCAGUUUUGAGUUUGACUGUAAAAGAUGAAAGAGCAAUAAAUAAAUAAAUGAAAACCAGCAUGCGAGACGAAUGUGUUGUUGCUAUCGAUGACCGAUAUCACAACCAUCGUACUCCUUUACCGCAUAAUUGAUACCAUGGAUUGAUGUUGACUGCAUAUGGUGCCCAUGCAAGUGGCAAAGAAUCUUCGCCGCCUCAAAAGAUAUUUGAUAUAUGUAAUUGGAUCGGAAAGAAAGUGACCAGUGACACCGACUUACACAAAUAAUAGUCUAGUGUUGAUUAUCUUCAAAUAAUGUGCAACUUGGGCUUAAGCAAAUAAUAGUCUAGCGCUAAUUAUAUUUUCAUACAACUGGCUAGCUUUAAGUGCUUCUAGUUAGAGUUGAAUAUACCUUCAAAUUGAGAGACUAUUCUACGCUGUAGAGGGCCUAGGCAUCUUUUUUUCUGAAAAAGUGUAGAUUUUUGUGUCGAGACUAUGUGAAGUAACUAUGAUGAAAAUCUCACGCCAGGUGACUGGAUCAACUCAAGUUUAACGUAUUCAUCGCGCCAUCAUUGACCAACACCAUGAGUCCAUGAUUACCAACUUUCAGUACUAACUAAAUCCUGAUUUAUUGGUCUCUUAAUAUUUAGUGUCAAAUUUUAAUCAUAGAUUUAACUAACAAAAUAAUAAUGCAUGUCAUCAAAAAUUGUAUUGUUGGAUUCGUACUUAAACAUAGUUUCCAAUAAUAAUAUCUUUGGUACAUGCAUUAAUAUUUUAUUAGUUAAAUUUAAGGUCAAUUUUUUGCCAAAAAUGCAAUGGGGACCAAUAAACUAGGACGAUGGUAGUACCACCUAAUCGACAUUGACGUUGACUCUAUAUAUCGUGACAAUGAAAGUAAUGAAGUAUGUCCACUGAGGGAGUUCUGGAUUAGGGGGUGUCCGGAUGACCGGACUAUAACCUUUGGCCGGACUCCUGGACUAUGAAGAUACAAGAUUGAAGACUUUGUCCCGUGUCCGGAUGGGACUUUCCUUGGCGUGAAAGGAAAGCUUGGCGAUACAGAUAUGUAGAUCUCCUCCCAUUGUAACCGACUCUGUGUAACCCUAGCCCUCUCCGGUGUCUAUAUAAACCGGAGGGUUUUAGUCCGUAGGACGAACAACAAUCAUACCAUAGGCUAGCUUCUAGGGUUUAGCCUCUCUGAUCUCGUGGUAGAUCUACUCUUGUACUACCCAUAUCAUCAAUAUUAAUCAAGCAGGAGUAGGGUUUUACCUCCAUCGAGAGGGCCCGAACCUGGGUAAAAACAUCGUGUCCCUUGUCUCCUGUUACCAUCCGCCUAGACGCAUAGUUCGGGACCCCCUACCCGAGAUCCGCCGGUUUUGACACCGACAUUGGUGCUUUCAUUGAGAGUUCCUCUAUGUCGUCAUCUUUAGGCCCGAUGGCUCCUCCGAUCAUCAACAACGAUGCGGUCCAGGGUGAGACUUCUCUCCCUGGACAGAUCUUCGUAUUCGGCGGCUUUGCACUGCGGGCCAAUUCGCUUGGCCAUCUGGAGCAGAUCGAAAGCUACGCCCCUAGCCAUCAGGUCAGAUUUGGAAGUUUGAACUACAGGGCUGACAUCCGCGGAGACUUGAUCUUUGACGGGUUCGAGCCACAGCCGAGCGCGCCACACUGUCACGAUGGGCAUGAUCUAGCUCUGCCGCCGAACAGUGCCCAGGAGGCCGCACCAGUGUCCGUCCGACCCUUAGCUCAGAGCCAACUGCGCCAAUCGAGGACGGGUGGUUGGACACCGCCUCGGGGGCUGCAAUCUCUACGGCGAUCGAGCCGAACACCAGCCUUGUCCUCUGCGAAGCCCGUGACUCAAGGUGCCGGACUCCUCCCCGAACUCCGAACCUUCCGCGCCCCUGCCGAUCGAAUCCGAUUGGAUGCCGAUCAUGGAGUUCGCCGACGCGGACAUCUCUCAACACUCGCCCUUCGGCGACAUUCUGAAUUCACUAAAGUCUCUCUCUUUAUCAGGAGAGCGCUGGUCGGACUAUGGUCAGCAAGGAUGGGAUGCGGAUGACGAAGAAAUUCAAAUCCCAUCCACCACCCACUUCGUAGCCACUGUCGAUGAUUUAACCGACUUGCUCGACUUCAACUCCGAAGACAUCGACAGUAUGGACGACGAUGUAGGAGACGAACAGGAACCAGCGCCUAUAGGGCACUGGACAACCACCUCAUCUCACGAUGUAUACAUGGUGGACACACCUAAAAGAAACGACGACGAUGAACAAAGGGACGCAACGAGGGAUCGUUCCCUCGAAAAGCAGUCAAAGCGGCGGCAUAAGCGCCGCUCCAAACCCCACCUCGACAGAGACAACAGCCAUACAGACCCAGCCACAGAGCAGGGCGAACCGGCGGACGACGAACAUGCCAUCGAGCAACCGUCCGAACAGGGCAACUUGGGUAAACAAACCAAACAACCCGUCUCCGGCGAAGAUAAUAGUCCGGACGACCUCACGCCUGACAAGUUGCUGGAGCAGAUGAACCUCCACAAAAGGCUCGUCGCCACUGCGCGUAGCCUGAAAAAGCAGAAGCGGAAGCUCAAAACAGCGGAAGAUGCACUCAGAAUUAGAUGGGGCAAAUCAGCACCGCAGACAAAUACGGCGACAGUCGCCACACAAAGAGCUAUCCGAAGCGAAAAUUAUUGCCGGAAUUUGAUGAGGAGGCCUUAGAGCCACCGCAAUCAAAAAAUAAGGAAGCCACCAGGUCGGAUAAACAACCCCAUGGCCAACAUAGAGCGGCAAAUGGCGCCGCACACAAGCCGGCACGCAAUCGGCAUAAGGAUUCGCAUCAAAAAGACGGCCCAACCAGGUCUAUCUACGGGCCAAGAAAGCAAGCUCUAGUAAGCAACGCAACACAACAAGUAUCCGAACAUCACGGCACACCCAAAUAUAGGGGUGCCACACCCCCCCUAUGUUUCACCGAUGAGGUGCUGGACCAUGAAUUUCCAGUGGGAUUGAAGCCAGUAAACAUAGAGGCAUACGACGGAACAACAGACCCUGGAGUCUGGAUUGAGGAUUAUAUCCUCCACAUACACAUGGCUAGAGGAGAUGACCUCCACGCCAUAAAAUACUUACCCCUCAAACUCAAAGGGCCAGCCCGGCAUUGGCUUAAAAGCCUUCCCGAAAACACCAUCGGAAGUUGGGAAGAGCUCGAGGAUGCUUUUCGGGCAAAUUUUCAAGGGACCCAUGUCCGACCUCCGGAUGCAGACGAUCUAAGUCAUAUAACUCAACAACCCGCAGAGUCAGCCCGGAAACUCUGGAACAUAUUUCUUACUAAAAGGAACCAUAUAGUCGACUGUCCGGACGCCGAAGCCUUAGCAGCUUUCAAACACAGCGUUCGAGACGAAUGGCUCGCCAGACACCUCGGCCAAGAGAAGCCAAGAACAAUGGCCGCAUUAACAAGCCUCAUGACCCGCUUUUGCGCAGGAGAGGAUAGCUGGUUGGCAAGAAGCAGUACCAGCGACCCAAGUACAUCCACGACCAAGGGAUGGAAACGGGAAACCGCGACGUAGUAAGGACCAGCGCCGGACCAAGGGAAACAACCCGAAGAGCACGGCAGUCAACGCCGGAUUCAAAAGCUCUCGGCAGAAUCAAAAAAAGCUGCCCCUCAAGGAUAACAGGGACGAGCUAUCUAACCUAAACAAAAUCUUGGACAAAAUAUGCCAAAUCCACAGUACUCCCGGGAAGCCUGCAAACCAUACCCACAGAGAUUGUUGGGUCUUCAAGCAAUCCGACAAACUCAACGUCGAACAUAAGGGGCUCAACAUACCAAGCGAGGACGAUGACGAACCCCACAAGCAGAGCACCGGAGAACAAAAGAAGUUCCCACAAGAAGUCAAAACAGUAAACUUAUGUAACGCCCCGGAUACAACUUUCCGUAUUUGUAACUCCAACUCUUGCCUUUUUCGGAGACGUGUUAUGUUAUUUUCCUUCGUGGUUGGGUUUUUGCCUUUCGUUUUGCAUUUUAUUCAUGUCUUGUAUUUCAUCUCAUAGCAUCAUGCACAUUGCAUCUGCAUGUUUUCAUAAAGCUUGCAUCCGUUCGUAGAUGCCACGUUCCCCCCUUGCCUUUGUUAUCCCUUUCGAGACCAAUCGUUCAUUUGUUGCCCGACCGUUUGAGCCUCUCUGCACAGCCACCGACCACCUCCGCAACCUAGUCCGAAAACUUCUCCCGGACCCGACCCGGGCUGUCAUGACCAAUGGGUCCGGAUCAUCUCCAAACAUCUACAAAACAUCUCCGUUUUUCUAUUUGGACUCCCUAGUAUUUUUUUUCUCGGUCCGUCUGUUUUGAUCCGAGGGACUAGGUCACCCCAAUCUAAGCCACAUGCUAUAUAUAUAUAUAUAUGUCCAAACCUAGUCUAGGCUUGUCCCAUCCACCAGAUCUCCUCACCCGCCGCCACCAGUCUCUCCAUCGGGAUCCAACCCGCAACCAGCUUCUCCCUCCCUCGUUUCUUCCAGCAGUCCAACCGCAUCCACCCAAAUCAAAUCUUGUCUUCCUUGAUUUCCGUGCCAACCCAAUCAACCACAGCCUUGCUCGUUCCAGAUCGAAGGAAUCGUCCCCAAGCAUCGUGGAUCCAAACCAGCCUCCUCCCCUUGAUCCAUGAGAUCCCGAGCUCCUCCAGUCUCGCGACCCCACUGCCCUCGGCGAACCUCGCCGCUGACGACCACCUUCAUCAGGCCGGACCCCGCACCCUCCUCCUUCCUUCUCUCUUCGUCCUUGCCUCCUCCUCACCUCUUCUCGUGUUGCAGCAGAUAGCCAUGGAUGGGCAUGGAGCUCCAAGCCGCUGCCCGAUCCCUUAACCUCUCCCGCUGCUCCAGCCUCCCGUCGGCUGUGACCCCGCCUACCUCCCGCGCUGCCGCCUGCUCACCGGAGCGCCCCCGCCAGCGAUCGAACCAGCAGCCACGUCACCGCUCCUCCUCGCCUAGCCUCUCCGGCGACCUGCAAGCCGUCCACGCGCCACCAGGCCAGAGCCCCUCACCGCCCUCUCUUUUCCCCCGCCUCCACCUUCUCUCUUUUCUCUGUCUCUCCCUCUCUCCCGCUCUGAACUCUCUCUGUCCCUUUCUUCAGGUACCUCAUCCCCGCCGCCAGAACGCAUGGGAGCCACCUCCUGCCGUCCCCCGGAUCCGGCGCCCCUUCGCCCGUCCUCGCCGGAUUGAGCAGCCGCGCCGCUGACUGCAUCACCCAGAUCCGCCGUCGCGCCGUCCCGGAGUCCCGCAGCCGGCCGCCAGCGCCUUCUUCCUCUGCUUCUGCUUCGAACAGGAGGAGGACGACCCCGCCUCGAGCGCACGCCUGUGCCCGAGCGAGGACCGCAUCUCUGUUGACCGCGGCCCUCUUCGUCUGGAGCGCCAGCGGCCGGGCGGCCCAGCGCCAGAUCGCUCGAGGACCAGCCUGCUCCAGCUCCUCUCCGGCACUCCAGAUCCGGCCUCUGGCCCGAUGUGAGCAGCUUCCCCCGCGCCCUGGGCAAGAUCUCUGUUUCGGCCCAUGUUGUAUUUUUUUCCUGUGGAGAUUUUAUCAUUUUUCCACAGAACCGUUGUUUUACAGAAAAACCCUCAAUAUUCAUGCAUUUAAUAACUCAUCAACCGUGCAUCGGAUUAAAAUGUUUUAAACUUAUAAAAUGCUUAUUUUUUUGUUUAGAUUAAUAAUAUGCCACUUUCAUCCAUGUUUAAAAUGUUUAACUUACUGUUUGCAUUAAAUUGUUUAAAUAACAUGCUAAAAUGAUUUAUUUCAUAACUAAAUAACCGUAGCUCGGAAUUAAAUGUUCUUUAUAUGUAAAUGGGGUGGAAAAAUGCCUAGUUUAACAUGGUGCACUUUAUUUCCCUGUUUAACAACAUUAAAACAGUACCAAAACUAAAAUAUGGACAUGAGGAAUUUCCGGAAUUGUUGUUUGUUACUUCCGGCCUCAUUUAAACUUGCCUAGAUAGGUAGUUUUCUCUUGCUUCACCUCUUGCCAUGUUUAACAACAUUUAAUAUUGUUAUGUACCUAAACGAGAGCAAACUAAAUAAAUGUUGUGAAGUUUUGUCAAUAUGCAACUCGUGGCAUAUUGAGCUCCACUUAACUUGUAGUAUUGUUUGUUGCACUUUACCAUGCCAUGAGUCUUUAAACCGGACAUGCAUCAUACUUGAUUGUGCAUCAUGCCAUGUUUGUUUGUUUCUUUCCGGUGUUGCUUCUUAGUUCCUAUUUCGUUGCGAUCGUGAGGAUUCGUUCAACUACGCUUGGUUCGGCUUCAUCUGUUCGUCUUCUUCAUGGACUCGUUCUUCUUCCUAGCGGGAUUUCAGGCAAGAUGACCGCUACCCUGGAUCUCACUACUAUCAUUGCUAUGCUAGUUGCUUCGUUCUAUCGCUUUGCUGCGCUACCUAUCACUUGUUCUUCAAGCCUUCCAAUUUGCCAUGUCAGCCUCUAACCUUUUCACCAUUCCUAGCACAUCGUUGUUUGGCUAUGUUACCGCUUUUGCUCAACCCCUCUUAUAGCGUUGUUAGUUGUAGGUGAAGUUGAAGAUUGCUCCAUGGUGGACAGGAUUAUGUUGGGAUAUCACAAUAUCUCUUAUAUUAUUAAUGCAUCUAUAUACUUGGUAAAGGGUGGAAGACUCAGCCUUAUGCCUGGUGUUUUGUUCCACUCUUGCCACCCUAGUUUCCGUCAUACCGAUGUUAUGUUUCCGGAUUUUGCGUUCCUUACGCGGUUGGGUGAUUUAUGGAACCCCCUUGACAGUUCGCUUUGAAUAAAACUCCUCCAGCAAGGCCCAACCUUGGUUUUACCAUUUGCCUCACCUAGCCCUUUUUUCCCUUGGGUUUCCGGAGCCCGAGGGUCAUCUUUAUUUUAGCCCCCCCGGGCCAGUGCUCCUUCGAGUGUUGGUCCGAACUGAGCUGCCUGCGGGGCCACCUUAGGGAAACUCGAAGUAUGGUUUUACUCGUAGUUAGUCUCAUCCGGUGUUGCCCUGAGAACGAGAUAUGUGCAGCUCCUAUCGGGAUUUGUUGGCGCAUCGGGCGGCUUUGCUGGUCUUGUUUUACCAUUGUCGAAAUGUCUUAUAAACCGGGAUUCUGAGUCUGAUCGGGUCUUCCUGGGAGAAGGUAUAUCCUUCGUUGAUCGUGAGAGCUUAUCAUGGGCUAAGUUGGGACACCCCUGCAGGGUAUAAACUUUCGAAAGCCGUGCCCGCGAUUAUGUGGCAGAUGGGAAUUUGUUAAUGUCCGGUUGUAGAUAACUUGACACCAGAUCCGAAUUAAAAUGCAUCAACCGCGUGUGUAGCCGUGAUGGUCUCUUUUCGGCGGAGUCCGGGAAGUGAACACGGUUUUGGGUUAUGUUUGACGUAAGUAGGAGUUCAGGAUCACCUCUUGAUCACUGCUAGCUUCACGACCGUUCCAUUGCUCCUCUUCUCGCUCUUAUUUGCGUAUGUUAGCCACCAUAUAUGCUUAGUCGCUGCUGCAACCUCACCACUUUACCCCUUCCUUUUCCCUUUAAGCUUUGCUAGUCUUGAUACCCAUGGUAAUGGGAUUGCUGAGUCCUCGUGGCUCACAGUUUACUACAGCAACAGUUGCAAGUACAGGUUAUGUGAUGAUCAUGUCGUGAGAGCGAUGUUUGCUUGUUUGGGAGUUCUUCUUCUCCUUCUUCUUCGAUCAGGGGAUAGGUUCCAGGUCGGCAGCCUGGGUAAGCAGGGUGGAUGUCGUUUGAGUUUCUGUUUGUGUUUCAUCCGUAGUCGGAUGCUGCUCUUAUGUAUGAUAUAUUGUUGUAUUCUUGUGUCAUUGAAUGUUUUGUAUGUAUCCCCAUCUAUUAUGUAAUGUUGAUGUAAUGAUAUCCACCUUGCAAAAGCGUUUCAAUAUGCGGUUCUAUCCUUGGUGGGACCUUCGAGUCUCUUUAGGAUAGUAUCGCAUAUUGGGCGUGACAAGUUGGUAAUCAGAGCCUCGACCGACCAUAGGAGCCCCCUUGAUUGUUGGCCGUUGUUGAGUCUAGAAGAAAACUAUUUUUGAGUCUUAGGAUUAUAUAUAUCGGAGAGUAGGAUUUUUUACUCCUCAGCCCCCUUCGUCGCUCUGGUGAGGUCUCCUAACGUAGAUGUUUUGACUUUCCUCUCCUCAAAUUUCACUAAACUUUUUUAGGAUCACGCGGGUAUCUUGGAACGUUCCGAUGGUUUUGUGACGAGAACAUUGUUCUUGGUGCCUCCUGUCUUUUAUGUGGUAGUGACCCAGGGAGUUAAGCUCCGAGGUGUUGUCGUCACAAUUUUAUCGUUGCAGUUCUGGAAUACCUGAGUUUUGCCGACAUCGAGAAUCUCUUUUAUGCAGUUGUUGGUGAGAUAACCUCGACGCCACCCAGUACUGGGGCUUCGAAAAGCAUCCGUUGUACGAGUUAUGGGUGAGAUAUAUAUUGCUUCCCCUGUAUCCCCAACACCAGAUUGCAUAACCAGAAAGUUUCAUGAGUUUUAUAGGUGGGAAUUCAAGUAGCUCCUAGAAUAUCUUUUCGACAGAUGCAUGAUAUGGGAUUGGGUAAAUCUCUAUCAUAUGUAUUUGUUCCAGCUUAUUUCUACAAGCCAAUCCUUUGUUUUGUUUUGAGUUGUGGUAUUCGAGUUGCUUCAUUGUCAAGUGUUGAUUCCAUACCUUUCAAGCGUUGUUCUCAUAUUUCUAUGGGAGUACUAAUCCUUCGUGAUCAUCGAGGUCGUCAUGUUAAUUCUUUUCCAACCGGUGCACUUCUCUUCGAGAUGAUCCCAUCAUUCUCCCCAUCCGCAAGAUCAAUUCUCAGUUCUUCGCAACGAUGUUUCUUCCUCCGUCCCAAGUUGCCUUUGUUUUUUUUCCUGCCCUCCCACCCUUUUUCUUCAAGGACUCAGAUUUCUUAAUCGGGUAUCCAUUUUAUUGAUGGGAAGACUCUCCAUUCUUUUCCGUCAAUGUUCUUAUCCGGUGAUUUCCCAUGAAGAUGCUCAACAGUUUCAAGUUCAUCAUUCUUCAUUCUCGUAUUCUUUUCCGCUGGAUCCAAUUCAAGCUUUCGGUGUUGAUCAUAUCCAUUUCCUCGUUUCAAAUGUUUUUCCAUGUCGGUGCACCUCUUAAUUGUUCACCUCUCUCUAUUCUUAUCCGGAGUGCUCAAGAUAUCUCAGAAGAAUCAAGUUCCCAUUCUUAAUCCGUUCGAGUUACUUCAAGGUUUUUCUCUCAUUCAAGCUAUUUAAUUCAACUGGUGCAACCUCUCUUUAAAAUUGUUCAACGAUGUUUUCUUUUGAGUGGGCCCUAACCCACAGGUCUUUCCCAGGAUCUUACCUGACUCUUCUAAUUUAUCCAGAGUAAUUCUCAAAUUCAUUUCCAAGUUUGAGGUAAGAAUGAAUUAUCAUAAGUCAUAUGUCCUUCUCCAAGAUCUUUCAAAUUCUUUUCAUCGUUGGUUCAACCUUUCUAAUUUUCUCCCGGAGUAUCUCAACAAUUCAUGGUGGUGUUUCACGUCGUCAUUCUUGGAUUUUGAAGAUCGAAGAAGAGUUCCUCUUAAAUCCUUACCCGUUCUUCCAGAGAUUCAUGGUUCUAGCUUCAUGCCAUCCUCAUAAUUAUUUUUGAUUGUGACAAUUAUUUUCUUACCAUCCGGAGCAUUUCAUGAGUUGUUUCCAUUUCUUUCCUCCGAAGGCCAUCAUGUCACAAUUCUUCAUUCUCAGCGUGUAGCUAUCGUUCUCCAAAUCUUACCGGUGCAUCGUUCAAAUAUCCUCUAAUAAGUUCAUGAUCUCCUCGUUCUCAUGUAUCUAAAUCCCCUCGAGCAUCUUCAUUCGUUCUACAAUUCUUCCCAGUGAACUAUGCCUUUGCUACUUUCAUUUUCAAUUCUUGCGGUGGUUCGUUCGAGAUUCCUCUUCCUUUGUUACCGUAUCAUUUCAUUCGUUGUUUCCAAUCCCACUGGUGGUUCCAUCAAUACCUUCUCAAGUUUGCGAUAUCUCUCUCUUAAUCCUUUCUACGAGAAUAAGUGGCAUGCCAAAUCCAUUGCUAGUCAUCAAUUUAAUUUGAUGAAGGAUAAGAAUACAAUAAAUCUUAUUCUUAUUUCCUCGAGGUGAUUCAAUUCUUUUCUUUCGAAGAUUGUUCAUGAUGAAGUAAUUCUCGUUUCUAGUGUUUCAUCUUUUCUUUUCCGGAGUUCCAAGUUUUCUCGGUUAUAUCGUCGCGAAGCUCCACCUAAAUUAUUGCAAGGCUUCACCUUGUGUUUUCAACUUCUCUUUCGUUUUAUCAUCUUUUUAUUACCAGAGUUCUUCAUAGAGGCUCUACAUGGUGGUUCGUCAAGGAUUCUUUUCAUUCUUCAAUUGUUCUUCAAGUUUUUCUCUCGGAGUCAUGAUUCGCCGAGCUAUACUCAAAAUUAAACAUGGCGCUCAACACAUGUUUUGUUUUGAUGCGUUCAAGUAUUCUUCAUCUUGCAUUCCAAAGUGCAAUUCUUUCUACCUUAUCUUUUGAGGUGGUGUUAUGUCACUCUUGACAAUUUCCUUCAUGGUUCAUGAUUCAUAUUGUUGUCAAGAAUGAGGUAUUUUAAAUCCAUCAAUCUCUUCAUUGGAGUUAUCUUGGUAUAGAUUUCACCUAAAGCCUUUCCUAAGGAAUGUUGCUAUUGUGCUGCUUAUCAAUGAUCCAAGUUUUCUCCUAUCCUCUCGGCGAAAGCAGUUUUCAUCUCUUCGUUGAUCUCAAGCAAGCAAUUGUUUCAGUUAGUGGCCGGUUGUCACCUCAUAAUUUUGAGAUGUUUUCCAUAAGCCCACUACAAGCUUAUUCGUUUCGUUGUUGGUUUUCCAUCAACUCCAUUCUAACCUUCUUGGAAGGGUGAUUUCCAAGAUCAUUUGUGGUAGAAGUUGGCAUUUCCUUCUCCAUUAUGUUAUUCCAAUGAUCUAUCUUCUAUUCUUUCUUCCGGAGGCAUUGUGAUGUUGCUUUCUUCACUCAUCAUCUCGAAUUGAGGAUUGUGUUCUUUCCAUGCUUGUCCAUUUAACCGGAGUGUUGUGUCAUCUCUUCAAGUUCUUUUAAUCUUUUCCUUCUUCUUUCAGUCGGAGUGCUGCCCAAAUUAUAUCAAUCUUAUUCCUUCUCUAUCUAGUUUUAACCGGAGUGGUUCCAAUAUCUAUCUUAUCACUAAACCUCUUGGUUCUCGCCGUAUCCCGUGUUCCUUUUUUCUAACAGAGUGUUUUCAACUUUGUUCAUAUUUGUUGUUUUUUCUUUCUUUCAUUUUGCUCAAACUCUCAAGGUUUAUGGUGUCACUCGUUUGUCGAAGAAGCAACUUAGUUUACCUCUUAUCUUCCUCUUCCGUUUCCCUCCGGUGCCAUCCUAGAUCUCGGGACGAGAUCCUCUCGUAGUGGUGGAGUGUUGUAACGCCCCGGAUACAACUUUUCGUAUUCGUAACUCCAACUCUUGCCUUUUCCGGAGACGUGUUAUGUUAUUUUCCUUCGUGGUUGGGUUUUUGUCUUUCGUUUUGCAUUUUAUUCAUGUCUUGUAUUUCAUCUCAUAGCAUCAUGCGCAUUGCAUCUGCAUGUUUUCAUAAAGCUUGCAUCCGUGCGUAGAUGCCACGUUCCCCCCUUGCCUUUGUUAUCCCUUUCGAGACCAAUCGUUCAUUUGUUGCCCGACCGUUUGAGCCUCUCUGCACAGCCACCGACCACCUCCGCAACCUAGUCCGAAAACUUCUCCCGGACCCGACCCGGGCUGUCAUGACCAAUGGGUCCGGAUCAUCUCCAAACAUCUACAAAACAUCUCCGUUUUUCUAUUUGGACUCCCUAGUAUUUUUUUCUUGGUCCGUCUGUUUUGAUCCGAGGGACUAGGUCACCCCAAUCUAAGCCACAUGCUAUAUAUAUAUAUGUCCAAACCUAGUCUAGGCUUGUCCCAUCCACCAGAUCUCCUCACCCGCCGCCACCAGUCUCUCCAUCGGGAUCCAACCCGCAACCAGCUUCUCCCUCCCUCGUUUCUUCCAGCAGUCCAACCGCAUCCACCCAAAUCAAAUCUUGUCUUCCUUGAUUUCCGUGCCAACCCAAUCAACCACAGCCUUGCUCGUUCCAGAUCGAAGGAAUCGUCCCCAAGCAUCGUGGAUCCAAACCAGCCUCCUCCCCUUGAUCCAUGAGAUCCCGAGCUCCUCCAGUCUCGCGACCCCACUGCCCUCGGUGAACCUCGCCGCUGACGACCACCUUCAUCAGGCCGGACCCCGCACCCUCCUCCUUCCUUCUCUCUUCGUCCUUGCCUCCUCCUCACCUCUUCUCGUGUUGCAGCAGAUAGCCAUGGAUGGGCAUGGAGCUCCAAGCCGCUGCCCGAUCCCUUAACCUCUCCCGCUGCUCCAGCCUCCCGUCGGCUGUGACCCCGCCUACCUCCCGCGCUGCCGCCUGCUCACCGGAGCGCCCCCGUCAGCGAUCGAACCAGCAGCCACGUCACCGCUCCUCCUCGCCUAGCCUCUCCGGCGACCUGCAAGCCGUCCACGCGCCACCAGGCCAGAGCCCCUCACCGCCCUCUCUUUUUCCCCCGCCUCCACCUUCUCUCUUUUCUCUGUCUCUCCCUCUCUCCCGCUCUGAACUCUCUCUGUCCCUUUCUUCAGGUACCUCAUCCCCGCCGCCAGAACGCAUGGGAGCCACCUCCUGCCGUCGCCCGGAUCCGGCGCCCCUUCGCCCGUCCUCGCCGGAUUGAGCAGCCGCGCCGCUGACUGCAUCACCCAGAUCCGCCGUCGCGCCGUCCCGGAGUCCCGCAGCCGGCCGCCAGCGCCUUCUUCCUCUGCUUCUGCUUCGAACAGGAGGAGGACGACCCUGCCUCGAGCGCACGCCUGUGCCCGAGCGAGGACCGCAUCUCCGUUGACCGCGGCCCUCUUCGUCUGGAGCGCCAGCGGCCGGGCGGCCCAGCGCCAGAUCGCUCCAGGACCAGCCUGCUCCAGCUCCUCUCCGGCACUCCAGAUCCGGCCUCUGGCCCGAUGUGAGCAGCUUCCCCCGCGCCCUGGGCAAGAUCUCUGUUUCGGCCCAUGUUGUAUUUUUUUCCUGUGGAGAUUUUAUCAUUUUUCCACAGAACCGUUGUUUUACAGAAAAACCCUCAAUAUUCAUGCAUUUAAUAACUCAUCAACCGUGCAUCGGAUUAAAAUGUUUUAAACUUAUAAAAUGCUUAUUUUUUUGUUUAGAUUAAUAAUAUGCCACUUUCAUCCAUGUUUAAAAUGUUUAACUUACUGUUUGCAUUAAAUUGUUUAAAUAACAUGCUAAAAUGAUUUAUUUCAUAACUAAAUAACCGUAGCUCGGAAUUAAAUGUUCUUUAUAUGUAAAUGGGGUGGAAAAAUGCCUAGUUUAACAUGGUGCACUUUAUUUCCCUGUUUAACAACAUUAAAACAGUACCAAAACUAAAAUAUGGACAUGAGGAAUUUCCGGAAUUGUUGUUUGUUACUUCCGGCCUCAUUUAAACUUGCCUAGAUAGGUAGUUUUCUCUUGCUUCACCUCUUGCCAUGUUUAACAACAUUUAAUAUUGUUAUGUACCUAAACGAGAGCAAACUAAAUAAAUGUUGUGAAGUUUUGUCAAUAUGCAACUCGUGGCAUAUUGAGCUCCACUUAACUUGUAGUAUUGUUUGUUGCACUUUACCAUGCCAUGAGUCUUUAAACCGGACAUGCAUCAUACUUGAUUGUGCAUCAUGCCAUGUUUGUUUGUUUCUUUCCGGUGUUGCUUCUUAGUUCCUAUUUCGUUGCGAUCGUGAGGAUUCGUUCAACUACGCUUGGUUCGGCUUCAUCCGUUCGUCUUCUUCAUGGACUCGUUCUUCUUCCUAGCGGGAUUUCAGGCAAGAUGACCGCUACCCUGGAUCUCACUACUAUCAUUGCUAUGCUAGUUGCUUCGUUCUAUCGCUUUGCUGCGCUACCUAUCACUUGUUCUUCAAGCCUUCCAAUUUGCCAUGUCAGCCUCUAACCUUUUCACCAUUCCUAGCACAUCGUUGUUUGGCUAUGUUACCGCUUUUGCUCAACCCCUCUUAUAGCGUUGUUAGUUGUAGGUGAAGUUGAAGAUUGCUCCAUGGUGGACAUGAUUAUGUUGGGAUAUCACAAUAUCUCUUAUAUUAUUAAUGCAUCUAUAUACUUGGUAAAGGGUGGAAGACUCAGCCUUAUGCCUGGUGUUUUGUUCCACUCUUGCCACCCUAGUUUCCGUCAUACCGGUGUUAUGUUCCCGGAUUUUGUGUUCCUUACGCGGUUGGGUGAUUUAUGGAACCCCCUUGACAGUUCGCUUUGAAUAAAACUCCUCCAGCAAGGCCCAACCUUGGUUUUACCAUUUGCCUCACCUAGCCCUUUUUUUCCCUUGGGUUUCCGGAGCCCGAGGGUCAUCUUUAUUUUAGCCCCCCCGGGCCAGUGCUCCUUCGAGUGUUGGUCCGAACUGAGCUGCCUGCGGGGCCACCUUAGGGAAACUCGAAGUAUGGUUUUACUCGUAGUUAGUCUCAUCCGGUGUUGCCCUGAGAACGAGAUAUGUGCAGCUCCUAUCGGGAUUUGUUGGCGCAUCAGGCGGCUUUGCUGGUCUUGUUUUACCAUUGUCGAAAUGUCUUAUAAACCGGGAUUCUGAGUCUGAUCGGGUCUUCCUGGGAGAAGGUAUAUCCUUCGUUGAUCGCGAGAGCUUAUCAUGGGCUAAGUUGGGACACCCCUGCAGGGUAUAAACUUUCGAAAGCCGUGCCCGCGGUUAUGUGGCAGAUGGGAAUUUGUUAAUGUCCGGUUGUAGAUAACUUGACACCAGAUCCGAAUUAAAACGCAUCAACCGCGUGUGUAGCCGUGAUGGUCUCUUUUCGGCGGAGUCCGGGAAGUGAACACGGUUUUGGGUUAUGUUUGACGUAAGUAGGAGUUCAGGAUCACCUCUUGAUCAUUGCUAGCUUCACGACCGUUCCAUUGCUCCUCUUCUCGCUCUUAUUUGCGUAUGUUAGCCACCAUAUAUGCUUAGUCGCUGCUGCAACCUCACCACUUUACCCCUUCCUUUUCCCUUUAAGCUUUGCUAGUCUUGAUACCCAUGGUAAUGGGAUUGCUGAGUCCUCGUGGCUCACAGUUUACUACAGCAACAGUUGCAAGUACAGGUUAUGCGAUGAUCAUGUCGUGAGAGCGAUGUUUGCUUGUUUGGGAGUUCUUCUUCUCCUUCUUCUUCGAUCAGGGGAUAGGUUCCAGGUCGGCAGCCUGGGUAAGCAGGGUGGAUGUCGUUUGAGUUUCUGUUUGUGUUUCAUCCGUAGUCGGAUGCUGCUCUUAUGUAUGAUAUAUUGUUGUAUUCUUGUGUCAUUGAAUGUUUUGUAUGUAUCCCCAUCUAUUAUGUAAUGUUGAUGUAAUGAUAUCCACCUUGCAAAAGCGUUUCAAUAUGCGGUUCUAUCCUUGGUGGGACCUUCGAGUCUCUUUAGGAUAGUAUCGCAUAUUGGGCGUGACAAGUUGGUAAUCAGAGCCUCGACCGACCAUAGGAGCCCCCUUGAUUGUUGGCCGUUGUUGAGUCUAGAAGAAAACUAUUUUUGAGUCUUAGGAUUAUAUAUAUCGGAGAGUAGGAUUUUUUACUCCUCAGCCCCCUUCGUCGCUCUGGUGAGGUCUCCUAACGUAGAUGUUUUGACUUUCCUCUCCUCAAAUUUCACUAAAUUUUUUUAGGAUCACGCGGGUAUCUUGGAACGUUCCGAUGGUUUUGUGACGAGAACAUUGUUCUUGGUGCCUCCUGUCUUUUAUGUGGCAGUGACCCAGGGAGUUAAGCUCCGAGGUGUUGUCGUCACAAUUUUAUCGUUGGAGUUCUGGAAUACCUGAGUUUUGCCGACAUCGAGAAUCUCUUUUAUGCAGUUGUUGGUGAGAUAACCUCGACGCCACCCAGUACUGGGGCUUCGAAAAGCAUCCGUUGUAUGAGUUAUGGGUGAGAUAUAUAUUGCUUCCCCUGUAUCCCCAACACCAGAUUGCAUAACCAGAAAGUUUCAUGAGUUUUAUAGGUGGGAAUUCAAGUAGCUCCUAGAAUAUCUUUUCGACAGAUGCAUGAUAUGGGAUUGGGUAAAUCUCUAUCAUAUGUAUUUGUUCCAGCUUAUUUCUACAAGCCAAUCCUUUGUUUUGUUUUGAGUUGUGGUAUUCGAGUUGCUUCAUUGUCAAGUGUUGAUUCCAUACCUUUCAAGCGUUGUUCUCAUAUUUCUAUGGGAGUACUAAUCCUUCAUGAUCAUCGAGGUCGUCAUGUUAAUUCUUUUCCAACCGGUGCACUUCUCUUCGAGAUGAUCCCAUCAUUCUCCCCAUCCGCAAGAUCAAUUCUCAGUUCUUCGCAACGAUGUUUCUUCCUCCGUCCCAAGUUGCCUUUGUUUUUUUUCCUGCCCUCCCACCCUUUUUCUUCAAGGACUCAGAUUUCUUAAUCGGGUAUCCAUUUUAUUGAUGGGAAGACUCUCCAUUCUUUUCCGUCAAUGUUCUUAUCCGGUGAUUUCCCAUGAAGAUGCUCAACAGUUUCAAGUUCAUCAUUCUUCAUUCUCGUAUUCUUUUCCGCUGGAUCCAAUUCAAGCUUUCGGUGUUGAUCAUAUCCAUUUCCUCAUUUCAAAUGUUUUUCCAUGUCGGUGCACCUCUUAAUUGUUCACCUCUCUCUAUUCUUAUCCGGAGUGCUCAAGAUAUCUCAGAAGAAUCAAGUUCCCAUUCUUAAUCCGUUCGAGUUACUUCAAGGUUUUCUCUCUCAUUCAAGCUAUUUAAUUCAACCGGUGCAACCUCUCUUUAAAAUUGUUCAACGAUGUUUUCUUUUGAGUGGGCCCUAACCCACAGGUCUUUCCCAGGAUCUUACCUGACUCUUCUAAUUUAUCCAGAGUAAUUCUCAAAUUCAUUUCCAAGUUUGAGGUAAGAAUGGAUUAUCAUAAGUCAUAUGUCCUUCUCCAAGAUCUUUCAAAUUCUUUUCAUCGUUGGUUCAACCUUUCUAAUUUUCUCCCGGAGUAUCUCAACAAUUCAUGGUGGUGUUUCACGUCGUCAUUCUUGGAUUUUGAAGAUCGAAGAAGAGUUCCUCUUAAAUCCUUACCCAUUCUUCCAGAGAUUCAUGGUUCUAGCUUCAUGCCAUCCUCAUAAUUAUUUUUGAUUGUGACAAUUAUUUUCUUACCAUCCGGAGCAUUUCAUGAGUUGUUUCCAUUUCUUUCCUCCGAAGGCCAUCAUGUCACAAUUCUUCAUUCUCAGCGUGUAGCUAUCGUUCUCCAAAUCUUACCGGUGCAUCGUUCAAAUAUCCUCUAAUAAGUUCAUGAUCUCCUCGUUCUCAUGUAUCUAAAUCCCCUCGAGCAUCUUCAUUCGUUCUACAAUUCUUCCCAGUGAACUAUGCCUUUGCUACUUUCAUUUUCAAUUCUUGCGGUGGUUCGUUCGAGAUUCCUCUUCCUUUGUUACCGUAUCAUUUCAUUCGUUGUUUCCAAUCCCACUGGUGGUUCCAUCAAUACCUUCUCAAGUUUGCGAUAUCUCUCUCUUAAUCCUUUCUACGAGAAUAAGUGGCAUGCCAAAUCCAUUGCUAGUCAUCAAUUUAAUUUGAUGAAGGAUAAGAAUACAAUAAAUCUUAUUCUUAUUUCCUCGAGGUGAUUCAAUUCUUUUCUUUCGAAGAUUGUUCAUGAUGAAGUAAUUCUCGUUUCUAGUGUUUCAUCUUUUCUUUUCCGGAGUUCCAAGUUUUCUCGGUUAUAUCGUCGCGAAGCUCCACCUAAAUUAUUGCAAGGCUUCACCUUGUGUUUUCAACUUCUCUUUCGUUUUAUCAUCUUUUUAUUACUAGAGUUCUUCAUAGAGGCUCUACAUGGUGGUUCGUCAAGGAUUCUUUUCAUUCUUCAAUUGUUCUUCAAGUUUUUCUCUCGGAGUCAUGAUUCGCCGAGCUAUACUCAAAAUUAAACAUGGCGCUCAACACAUGUUUUGUUUUGAUGCGUUCAAGUAUUCUUCAUCUUGCAUUCCAAAGUGCAAUUCUUUCUACCUUAUCUUUUGAGGUGGUGUUAUGUCACUCUUGACAAUUUCCUUCAUGGUUCAUGAUUCAUAUUGUUGUCAAGAAUGAGGUAUUUUAAAUCCAUCAAUCUCUUCAUUGGAGUUAUCUUGGUAUAGAUUUCACCUAAAGCCUUUCCUAAGGAAUGUUGCUAUUGUGCGGCUUAUCAAUGAUCCAAGUUUUCUCCUAUCCUCUCGGCGAAAGCAGUUUUCAUCUCUUCGUUGAUCUCAAGCAAGCAAUUGUUUCAGUUAGUGGCCGGUUGUCACCUCAUAAUUUUGAGAUGUUUUCCAUAAGCCCACUACAAGCUUAUUCGUUUCAUUGUUGGUUUUCCAUCAACUCCAUUCGAACCUUCUUGGAAGGGUGCUUUCCAAGAUCAUUUGUGGUAGAAGUUGGCAUUUCCUUCUCCAUUAUGUUAUUCCAAUGAUCUAUCUUCUAUUCUUUCUUCCGGAGGCAUUGUGAUGUUGCUUUCUUCACUCAUCAUCUCGAAUUGAGGAUUGUGUUCUUUCCAUGCUUGUCCAUUUAACCGGAGUGUUGUGUCAUCUCUUCAAGCUCUUUUAAUCUUUUCCUUCUUCUUUCAGUCGGAGUGCUGCCCAAAUUAUAUCAAUCUUAUUCCUUCUCUAUCUAGUUUUAACCGGAGUGGUUCCAAUAUCUAUCUUAUCACUAAACCUCUUGGUUCUCGCCGUAUCCCGUGUUCCUUUUUUCUAACAGAGUGUUUUCAACUUUGUUCAUAUUUGUUGUUUUUUCUUUCUUUCAUUUUGCUCAAACUCUCAAGGUUUAUGGUGUCACUCGUUUGUCGAAGAAGCAACUUAGUUUACCUCUUAUCUUCCUCUUCCGUUUCCCUCCGGUGCCAUCCUAGAUCUCGGGACGAGAUCCUCUCGUAGUGGUGGAGUGUUGUAACGCCCCGGAUACAACUUUUCGUAUUCGUAACUCCAACUCUUGCCUUUUCCGGAGAUGUGUUAUGUUAUUUUCCUUCGUGGUUGGGUUUUUGUCUUUCGUUUUGCAUUUUAUUCAUGUCUUGUAUUUCAUCUCAUAGCAUCAUGCGCAUUGCAUCUGCAUGUUUUCAUAAAGCUUGCAUCCGUUCAUAGUUGCCACGUUCCCCCCUUGCCUUUGUUAUCCCUUUCGAGACCAACCGUUCAUUUGUUGCCCGACCGUUUGAGCCUCUCUGCACAGCCACUGACCACCUCCGUAACCUAGUCCGAAAACUUCUCCCGGAACCGACCUGGGCUGUCAUGACCAAUGGGUCCGGAUCAUCUCCAAACAUCUACAAAACAUCUCCGUUUUUCUAUUUGGACUCCCUAGUAUUUUUUUCUCGGUCCGUCUGUUUUGAUCCGAGGGACUAGGUCACCCCAAUCUAAGCCACAUGCUAUAUAUAUGUCUAAACCUAGUCUAGGCUUGUCCCAUCCACCAAAUCUCCUCACCCGCCGCCACCAGUCUCUCCAUCGGGAUCCAACACGCAACCAGCUUCUCCCUCCCUCGUUUCUUCCAGCAGUCCAACCGCAUCCACCCAAAUCAAAUCUUGUCUUCCUUGAUUUCCGUGCCAACCCAAUCACCCACAGCCUCGCUCGUUCCAGAUCGAAGGAAUCAUCCCCAAGCAUCGUGGAUCCAAACCAGCCUCCUCCCCUCGAUCCAUGAGAUCCCGAGCUCCUCUAGUCUCGCGACCCCACUGCCCUCGACGAACCUCGCCGCCGACGACCACCUUCAUCAGGCCGGACCCCGCACCCUCCUCCUUCCUUCUCUCUUCGUCCUUGCCUCCUCCUCACCUCUUCUCGUGUUGCAACAGAUAGCCAUGGAUGGGCAUGGAGCUCCAAGCCGCUGCCCGAUCCCUCAACCUCUCCCGCUGCUCCAGCCUCCCGUCGGCUGUGACCCUGCCUACCUCCCGCACUGCCGCCUGCUCACCGGAGCGCCCCCGCCAGCAAUCGAACCAGCAGCCACAUCACCGCUCCUCCUCGCCUAGCCUCUCCGGCGACUUGCAAGCCGUCCACGUGCCACCAGGCCAGAGCCCCUCACCGCCCUCUCUUUUUCCCCUGCCUCCACCUUCUCUCUUUUCUCUGUCUCUCCCUCUCUCCCGCUCUGAACUCUCUCUGUCCCUUUCUUCAGGUACCUCAUCCCUGCCGCCAGAACGCACGGGAGCCACCUCCUGCCAUCGCCCGGAUCCGGCGCCCCUUCGCCCGUCCUCGCCGGAUUGAGCAGCUGCGUCGUUGACUGCAUCGUCCAGAUCCGCCGUCGCGCCGUCCCGGAGUCCCGCAGCCGGCCGCCAGCGCCUUCUUCCUCUGCUUCUGCUUCGAACAGGAGGAGGACGACCCUGCCUCGAGCGCACGCCUGUGCCCGAGCGAGGACCGCAUCUCCGUUGACCGCGGCCCUCUUCGUCUGGAGCGCCAGCGACCGGGCGGCCCAGCGCCAGAUUGCUCCAGGCCCAGCCUGCUCCAGCUCCUCUCCAGCACUCCAGAUCCAGCCUCUGGCCCGAUGUGAGCAGCUUCCCCUGCGCCCUGGGCCAGAUCUCUGUUUCGGCCCAUGUUGUAUUUUUUCCCGUGGCGAUUUUAUCAUUUUUCCACAGAACCAUUGUUUUACAGAAAAACCCUCAAUAUUCAUGCAUUUAAUAACUCAUCAACCGUGCAUCGGAUUAAAAUGUUUUAAACUUAUAAAAUGCUUAGAUUUUUGUGUAGAUUAAUAAUAUGCCACUUUCAUCCAUGUUUAAAAUAUUUAACUUGCUGUUUGCAUUAAAUUGUUUAAAUAACAUGCUAAAAUGAUUUAUUUCAUAACUAAAUAACCGUAGCUCGGAAUUAAAUGUUCUUUAUAUGUAAAUGGGGUGAAACAAUGCCUAGUUUAACAUGGUGCACUUUAUUUCCCUGUUUAACAACAUUAAAAUAUUGUUUAGGCAGAACAGUACCAAAACUAAAAUAUGGACAUGAGGAAUUCUCGGAAUUGUUGUUUGUUACUUCCGGCCUCAUUUAAACUUGCCUAGAUAGGUAGUUUUCUCUUGCUUCACCUCUUGCCAUGUUUAACAACAUUUAAUAUUGUUGUGUACCUAAACGAGAGCAAACUAAAUAAAUAUUGUGAAGUUUUGUCAAUAUGCAACUCGUGGCAUAUUGAGCUCCACUUAACUUGUAGUAUUGUUUGUUGCACUUUGCCAUGCCAUGAGUCUUUAAACCGGACAUGCAUCAUACUUGAUUGUGCAUCAUGCCAUGUUUGUUUGUUUCUUUCCGGUGUUGCUUCUUAGUUCCUAUUUCGUUGCGAUCGUGAGGAUUCGUUCAACUACGCUUGGUUCGGCUUCAUCCGUUUGUCUUCUUCAUGGACUCGUGCUUCUUCCUAGCGGGAUUUCAGGCAAGAUGACCGCUACCCUGGAUCUCACUACUAUCAUUGCUAUGCUAGUUGCUUCGUUCUAUCGCUUUGCUGCGCUACCUAUCACUUGUUCUUCAAGCCUCCCAAUUUGCCAUGUCAGCCUCUAACCUUUUCACCAUUCCUAGCAAAUCGUUGUUUGGCUAUGUUACCGCUUUUGCUCAGCCCCUCUUAUAGCGUUGUUAGUUGUAGGUGAAGUUGAAGAUUGCUCCAUGGUGGACAGGAUUAUGUUGGGAUAUCAUAAUAUCUCUUAUAUUAUUAAUGCAUCUAUAUACUUGGUAAAGGGUGGAAGACUCGGCCUUAUGCCUGGUGUUUUGUUCCACUCUUGCCGCCCUAGUUUCCGUCAUACCGGUGUUAUGUUCCCGGAUUUUACGUUCCUUACGCGGUUGGGUGAUUUAUGGGACCCCUUGACAGUUCACUUUGAAUAAAACUCCUCCAGCAAGGCCCAACCUUGGUUUUACCAUUUGCCUCACCUAGCCCUUUUUUCCCUUGGGUUUUCGGAGCCCGAGGGUCAUCUGUAUUUUAGCCCCCCCGGGCCAGUGCUCCUUCGAGUGUUGGUCCGAACUGAGCUGCCUGCGGGGCCACCUCGGGGAAACUCGAAGUCUGGUUUUACUCGUAGCUAGUCUCAUCCGGUGUUGCCUUGAGAACGAGAUAUGUGCAGCUCCUAUCGGGAUUUGUUGGCACAUCGGGCUGCUUUGCUGGUCUUGUUUUACCAUUGUCGAAAUGUCUAGUAAACCGGGAUUCCGAGUCUGAUCGGGUCUUCCUGGGAGAAGGUAUAUCCUUCGUUGAUCGCGAGAGCUUAUCAUGGGCUAAGUUGGGACACCCCUGCAGGGUAUAAACUUUCGAAAGCCUUGCCCGCGGUUAUGUGGCAGAUGGGAAUUUGUUAAUAUCCGGUUGUAGAUAACUUGACACCAGAUCCGAAUUAAAACACAUCAACCGCGUGUGUAGCCGUGAUGGUCUCUUUUCGGCGGAGUCCGGGAAGUGAACACGGUUUUGGGUUAUGUUUGACGUAAGUAGGAGUUCAGGAUCACCUCUUGAUCAUUGCUAGCUUCACGACCGUUCCAUUGCUCCUCUUCUCGCUCUUAUUUGCGUAUGUUAGCCACCAUAUAUGAUUAGUCGCUGCUGCAACCUCACCACUUUACCCCUUCCUUUUCCCUUUAAGCUUUGCUAGUCUUGAUACCCAUGGUAAUGGGAUUGCUGAGUCCUCGUGGCUCACAGUUUACUACAACAACAGUUGCAGGUACAGGUUAUGCGAUGAUCAUGUCGUGAGAGCGAUGUUUGCUUGUUUGGGAGUUCUUCUUCUCCUUCUUCUUCAAUCAGGGGAUAGGUUCCAGGUCGGCAGCCUGGGUAAGCAGGGUGGAUGUCAUUUGAGUUUCUGUUUGUGUUUCAUCCGUAGUUGGAUGCUGCUCUUAUGUAUGAUAUAUUGUUGUAUUCUUGUGUCAUUGAAUGUUUUGUAUGUAUCCCCAUCUAUUAUGUAAUGUUGAUGUAAUGAUAUCCACCUUGCAAAAGCGUUUCAAUAUGCGGUUCUAUCCUUGGUGGGACCUUCGAGUCUCUUUAGGAUAGUAUCGCAUAUUGGGCGUGACAACUUACUUCACGUGACAAAAGGGAAAAACAGAGUGGCGCCUAUAGAGAUACGCACCAUACGGCCUGUCCCAGAGGAGUCCCACCAUUGGUCGUCAAAACCGAUCACCUUCGACCAUCAGGAUUACUCUAGAAGUAUCCGGAGCGCAGGCUGGACUGCCUUGAUAUUAGAUCCGAUAAUUGACGGACUCCACUUUACACAAGUCCUAAUGGACGACGGCAGUGGUCUAAACCUGCUAUCUCAGGACACAAUCUGCAAAAUGGGGUUAAACCCAACAAAAAUUCGCCAUGGCAACACUUCCUUUCAAGGGGUAACGCCAAGCCCAGAUACCCAUUGUACGGGUUCUCUUGUGUUAGAAGUUAUGUUCGGAUCCCCCGACAACUUCCGUCGUGAAAAGCUAACCUUCCACAUCGUCCCAUUUACAAGUAGCUAUCGAGCACUACUGGGACGCGAAGCUUUCGCUCGCUUUAACGCAAUACCACAUUAUGCAUCCCUUAUGCUUAAUAUGCCCGGUCCGCGAGGCAUCAUCUCAUUAAAGGGAAAUAUCGAGUGUUCCUCGAGCGCGGAAGACUGUGCGGCUGCCUUGACAGCCACACACUAAACCAGCUUCACUAAUCGAAGCACCUAAACAGGUCGUUCAGACCCCGGACAUGGCUAGACAAGUCCCGCGUAAACAUACAAGGGCUUACUAGCCGCAUACCCCCGUACAAGGGGCUCCAUGCGUGUACAACGAGAGAUAAUAAAGCUCAAUUCUACCCAUUUUCUGAAUUAUGCUUUGUUUAUUUAAUAUAACAUAGAUUUUUGCAUGAUCUUUUUCAACUAAGUUCCUCUCUUUUAUAGAUGAACACCGUGCUACACCCGUCUAGGAUACGGCACAACGGAGACACAGGCGUAGACGUGCAGUAGGGACCCGUUCCAAGGAUUCUUUUCAGAUUAAGACCCUGCAUAAACCUUUUUCACUGUCUCUUGUUGGUACACAUCCCCCGGUUUCUUGUUAUAACCAAGGAGGAGGCUGGUGUCUUGGCAUGUGGCCACGUCAGAAUUUUGCGCGUGCCUGGACACCAGGGGCUUCUUACCAAGGGCGUUGUUCAGCCCGUUUUCAUAAAGACCAAAUACCUUAGGGAGUGUUCGGCGUCGCGAGUUUGGCCUUAUAUGCAUCAGCUCCGAAUCAUGUCUUUGGUCAAAUGUUGGGUUUGCCCGGCUCCUGUGUUUUGCUGCCUUACGUUCCGCUCUAUUGGCUAAGGCGGUACCAGGAGACUACUGCGAUUGUGCCCCGGUUCGGCCAGGCGAGCACCUCAGUAGAGAAAGCACAAAACUGACUGUCAUGAUAUAGCGUGAGACUGGUCAACCACUCGAUGACCCGCCAGAAUCUCUAGGAUUCCUCCGCAUUAAUGAAGGGCCGUCUCCCGGCCAGGCACACACGCGCCCUAAAUUCGGGUGAGCGCGGUGCCCCUAGGGGCUAUAUAGUAGCCCCACUGUCAAACUCCUAUGGCUAAGUGAAAGUGAUAAAGCAUUAUAGUCUGGUUUGCCUAGUUCGCUGCGCUAUCACCUCCUUAAUAGGACCAAGACGUUGGAUCAAGUGUGAAAAUGUGCCUUCUGCGAACACCCCCGCAUUAUAUGCGUGGGGGCUGAAGCCGAAGACUGCCAUCUUUCAGAUUAUAUACACAUAUACAUUAACGACCGCACAUGAGGUAUUCUAAUUCUUGAAGGCACAAGUAUAAAAAGCUUAUAUAUUCCAUCGCAACAUUGUUUUACAAUAAUACAUGUUAUUUGAACAUAACAUCCUUCGAGCACUGCGUCUCUAUCAAACGAGCGCCCUGGAGAACUUCCUGAAAAUAGUGCUCGGCAGGUACUCGGCUCUCGUACGAAUCUUGGGAUGCAACAGCAAUGGCCUUCAUCUCCGCCCAGUAUGUCUUGACACGGGCAAGAGCCAUCUGCGCACCCUCUAUGCACACUGACCUCUUCAUUGCAUUAAUAUGCGGCACCACGCCGAGGAACUGCUGCACCAAGCUAAAAUAACUCUUCGGCUCGGGUCUUUUCAGCCAUAGAUGACUCACGACAUACUUCAUGGCGAGUCCGGAUAACCUAUUCAGCUCCGCCCAUGCGGCCAAACGAUCGGUUAAUGGAAGUGGGCGCUCUGGAUUGUGGAACUGCGACCAAAAAAGCUUUUCCACUUCGUGGUCAUUUUGACCGAGGAAGUGUUCGGCCGCGUCCGCAACACUCGCUGCCAAGUCCAGAUAAGUGUUCGCCGCACUCUACUGCCGGUCCAACGGAGCAUAUUUAGGAUCCCUGAACUUCAUCCGCAGCAUAAAGGGCUUUCCAGCCGUGAUAUCUCCGGCCUGACGUAGCUCCUCCUUCAUAGCUCUCAUCGCAGAGCGAGUAUCCUUGGCCUCGGUAGUGACCUUCUCUAGGUCCUUCUGUGCCACCCGAUCUUCUUUUUCAAGAAGCUUGCAGCGGUCGGCAGCAUUCUUCAACUUUACAGCCAUCUCGGCCAUUUCCUUCUUGCUUUGGCAGUGAGCAGCCUGUUCGGCUUUUAGCUCUUCAGCCGCCUUUAAGGCAGCUGCAUCGCUUUUCCUGGCCUGCUCCUUGGCUCGGGCAAGUUCCGCCCGAAGGUUCUCCAUGGCAGCGGCACCAUCUGCAUCAAGCACACAUAUUGUAAGGUACGGGCAUCAAGCUCCUCUUACCAGGUGUCUUCGGAGAAAUUACAUACCUUGUGCCUCGUCCAGCCGCUUGUUGACAAGCGCGAUGUCGGCAUCUGCCACGUCAAGUUGCCGCUUUAGCUCGGCAAAUUCAUCAGUCCGGCUAGCCACCGGACACUUCGCCACCUACAUAGGAAAGGCGACAUAUUAUACCUGGGAUUAUGAUCCUCAGUGCGCCAUCAUUUUUGACAACGCACAGAGUCUCAGGGGCUACUAUCUAUACAGGGCGCAUCUUAUAUAUGCAGAUCUGUCAAACGGUACAUCAUUUCGCGUACCUCAAAACCUGUCAGUAAACUCCUGACGGCCUCGUACAACCCGCUCUCCGCGGAUGAAAUCCUUCCAAUCACCAUAUCCAUCAAUGCACGGUGUUCUUCUGAGAUAGAUGCUCGCCCGAGCAGAUCCUUCAGCUCCUCCGACCGUGCACCGGACGGUGCCGGACUCGUCCAUUGUCCUUUUUCGAAGGCCGGACACGGAGGGCCUUGGGGGGCCAUACGACUGCCUUCCGGCCCUGCCGGAUUCGGAGAAACUCUCCGUGACAACACCUCAGGGUCACCCACCUCGCAAGGCGGUACGACAGGGGGAGGCGUUCCACUUUCCAUCAUCUUCGGACGAAGAUCCCCUGAAGAUGAGCUCUACUGAGAAGGGUUGUGAUCCAAACUACAAGGUAAAAUUUCGGUUAUCUUCCUCAGAAAUAGAACAGGGAUGUCUCUCAUUUUAAACCCCCCCUUCUUUACUUACGGCUCGGUGGAGAGCUGAUCCCCUUGGGGGCGCAAUGCGACCGAGGCACCCCCCGGCGCCGGACCCUCUGACAAAGAUUUCUUCCCCUGCUUUGAGACCAUGGCCUCCGGGUCUUCAGAGGCGGUCCUAUUCUUCCCCUGGUUAGAGGAAUUCUCGAUUCCUCCUUUCCUGACAGCCUCCUUCGGGGAGGCGGUAGCUUCCUUGCUCCCCUCUUCGCCUUCUUCCAAAGGCGCAACCUCCAGCAUCCUAAUUAACACGGGAUCCGACGUAGUCUCAGGGAGGGGGGCCGGACACCUGAUUAGCUUUGCUUUUGCUAUCCACUCCUGUUUAAGGGACAACUCUUUUAAGGGCAAUUUUAUGAUAAAUAUACAGAUAGCGUGUCCGGGUACAGGGCUACUUACUUGAGUAUCCGGGCGAUUGCAGCUCAGACCUGCAUCCUCGGACGAGUCCGGACACAUUGCUUGUGAUCCGAAGAACAAUUUGUACAUCUCCAUGGGCGUCACACCCACAGAAUGUUGGAGGGCUCGUGGUCCUUCCGGAUUAAACUCCCACAGGCGGAGGGGGCAACGUUUGCAGGGCAGGAUGCGGCGAAUCAACAUAACCUGUGUCACUACGGCCAGAUUGAUAUCUCUUUCUAGGAGAUCUCGAACGCGGCCCUGUAACAAGGGCACGUCCUUGGACGGCCCCCAGUUGAGCCCUUUAUUGAUCCAUGACGCUAGCUGUGGUGGGGGACCCGAGCGAAAGGCAGGUGGCGCCACCCAUUUGGUGCCCCUGGGAGCUGUGAUAUAAACCACUCUCGUUGCCAUAAGCUGAACUCCUCUUGAAAAGAGCCCUCGAGCCAUGGAGCGUCGGCAUUCUUGCUUAUAACAGCACCUCCGCACUCUGCAUGCUGCCCCUCGAUCAUCUUCAGCUCUACUUUGAAGGUCUUAAGCCACAAUCCAAAGUGAGGAGUAAUACGGAGGAAGGCCUCGCACAUGACAAUGAACGAUGAGAUAUGGAGGAUGGACUCCAGAGCUAAGUCGUGAAAUUCCAGCCCGUAAUAAAACAUGAGCCCCCUCACGAUGGGGUCCGCCGGGAAGCCUAGCCCCCGAAGGAAGUGAGACGCGAACACCAUGCUCUCACCAGGCUUGGGAGUGGGAAUAACCUGCCCUUGAGCAGGCAGCCUAUGCAAGAUUUCGCCGGUUAGAUACCUGACAUCUCUUAGCUUUAACACGUCUUCUUCCUUAACGGAGGAAGGCAUCCACUGGCCUUGAAGGUCGGAGCCGGACAUCAUCGGAGGUCCGAAGCGCCUGAAUCUGGAGCUUUGGGUAUUGGAACUCAAGGUGAGAGGCGGAUUUGAUUGAGAUUGAAAGAAAGGAGUCGAGCCUUGGUCUCUUUAUAAAGAGGUUGAAUACCAAGAGCCCUCCCCGUGACCGUUUGGGACCCGCCUUCGAUUGAGGAGACAUACCAACAAGCAUGAUUGGGUUACCCACGCCCGUAUCGGUGAGAACCCCGGAAUAAGGGGACACAAUUUCUGCUUUGACAAGACGUGCCAAGGAAACUACCUCGCUAAACGCGCUGAGGUGGUAAAACGAUAAAGGCUUGGCCGUGGCGUGAUGUCACGCUGUGAAAUACGUCAAUAGAUUAGAUUUGUGCAAAUAUUAUUCUCUCUACGGUGGAACUUGUUUUGCAGAGUUGGACACUAUCCUUGUGUUCAAAAUCUUCUAUGAAGUAUUCGGAGGAGGAACCCGCCUUGCAAUGCCGAAGACAAUCUGCACGCCGGACUCGUCGUCAUUGAAGCCUGGUUCAGGGGCUACUGAGGGAGUCCUGGAUUAGGGGGUGUCUGGAUGACCGGACUAUAACCUUUGGCCGGACUCCUGGACUAUGAAGAUACAAGAUUGAAGACUUUGUCCCGUGUCCGGAUGGGACUUUCCUUGGCGUGGAAGGAAAGCUUGGCGAUACGGAUAUGUAGAUCUCCUCCCAUUGUAACCGACUCUGUGUAACCCUAGCCCUCUCCGGUGUCUAUAUAAACCGGAGGGUUUUAGUCCGUAGGACGAACAACAAUCAUACCAUAGGCUAGCUUCUAGGGUUUAGCCUCUCUGAUCUCGUGGUAGAUCUACUCUUGUACUACCCAUAUCAUCAAUAUUAAUCAAGCAGGAGUAGGGUUUUACCUCCAUCAAGAGGGCCCGAACCUGGGUAAAAACAUUAUGUCCCUUGUCUCCUGUUACCAUCCGCCUAGACGCACAGUUCGGGACCCCCUACCCGAGAUCCGCCGGUUUUGACACUGACAUCCACCAUGCUCCAAAAAGGUAGAUUGCGCGUGCGUGUGUGUGAGAGAAGGGGAGUUGGCCUACAAUUUGAAUUUCUGAAAAUGUUUUUUUGUAGAAAUGAUUGCUAAACACUAUUAAUGAAAUAGUUAAUAUAAAAAUGGUUUGUUGGUGAGUAGAUGGGCACAUUAACCAACUAUAGUGUUCACAAUUACUUACCAUUGCCCCUUCUUGCCGGCCUUCUGGCCAGCUCCGUUUAUGGCCACAAGAUAGAUGGGGCAAGUUAAGAUUUGUCGAAGAUCUUAGGCUUAUAUGUGCGAGCGCGACUGUUCUAUGUCCCCUAUAUGGGGAUUUUAACCUUAUUUUGAGCGUUGAUAACAAGAACGAUAAUAAUAUCAAUCGCUACAUGUUGGGCAACAUCACGAAGUUCGUAAAUGACCACAGCCUGCUCGACAUUACUCACAAUGGUAGCCCAUAUUGCCCGACAUUACUCUUAAUGGUACCGCAUAUUCCCGGUCUAAUGACCAAGAGAAUACCUUGCUAUGCAAAUUGUCCACAUUUUAGGCUCUCGAGAGUGGUAUUCGUUGUUACUCCUUGUUAGGUCAUAUUUCUCCCGAAGUGAUUUUGGUGAUUGACGACAACAUGUUUGCGGACUAAUCAUGUGCAUUGAGUGUUUCAGACUAAGCAUAUUGCACAAGAUGAUUUGUAUCCCUCGGAGUUUCAAGAGAAGACGGUUUUUGUGCCUACGGUUCUUUUCUAGUGGUCUUGAGUCAUAGGGAUAACCGUACUAUCAAGAGGGGGUCCACUUGGAAAGGUUCGGGUGGAAUCAACACGUACACACUCAUAUUGCACCCUUUGAUCCUAUCCGCAUCGUUGGAGUUGUCCACCGUUUGUACCGAAGCAGUGGUGAAAAGCUACAAGUGGUAGUACUGCAGACUUGGGCGGUAGUACCGCUACGAGUACCGAUCGUACUACCGCUCAUGGCUGGGACCUCGAUUUUUCGUGUCGGGAUCUACGGUAGUGCAUCCGGAUUACUACCGUGCUUCCCAUUUGUCCCCAGAAACAGGGCGGUUGUAGCAGCGGUAGUUGAGGCGGUACCGCCCAUAGGCGGUAGUACCGCCCUACUACCGUGGAUACCACCGCUCGUGCCUCUGUUUUCCCCCUGUUUCCCGUUCUCUCCUGUGAUGCCUCUAGGGAGCGGUAGUACCACGGACUGGGGCGGUAGUACCGCUCCUGGAGCGAUAGAACCGCCUGUCUGCGGGCUGAGUGGUGCAUAACGGUUGGAUUUGUCUUCCCACUAUAAAAGGGGGUCUUCUUCCUCAAGAGACCUCACCUCUUUUCCCCCAAGCUCCAUUGUUACUUCAAAGCUCAUUUUCGCCCGAUUUCUCUCCCUAGACAAUCAAACUUGUUGAUUUUCUAGGGAUUGGUUGAGAAGACCCGCAUCUACACUUCCACCAAGAGAAAUUUGGUUUCCCCCACUAAUCCGUUGCGGAUCUUAUUAAUCUUGGGUGUUUGAGCACCCUAGACGGUUGAGGUCACCUCGGAGCCACAUUCCAUUGUGGUGAAGCUCCAUGGUAUCAUUGGGAGCCUCCAAUCAAGUUGUGGAAAUUGCCCCAACCUUGUUUGUAAAGGUUCAAUCGCCGCCUUCAAGGGCACCACUAGUGAAAUCACGACAUCUCGCAUUGUGUGAGGGCGUGAGGAGAAUAUGGUGUCCCUACACUACAAAAAAAAUACACUUCUGUGAUGAUACGUGUUUGUCACAGUAGGUCACAUUUUUGUCAUGCAUGUACAUCCAUGACGAUUUUAUGGCAGAAUCAAGGUAGUCAUACCUGUGCUGUCGUAGAAGUGUUCCAUGACAUUACCAAAAUUAUCAUCACGGAAGUGUCCACUUCCAUGACGAUAAAUCGCGCGUCACAAAAGUGCUUUCGUCAAGGGUGACCGACACGUGGCAUCCACCGUAACGGAACGCCGUUAAGCUAUUGGGUCGGGUUUUGGAUCCGAUAACCUGUUAACAGCCCCGACAAAUGGGGAUUUUCCACGUGUAAAAUCAUCAUUGGCUGGAGGAAACACGUGUCAGCUCAUCGUUGGGACAGAUGUCAUCCACUCAUUGGACAGAAGGCGCCUAUGAUACGUCGACACAUGGCACGGCCCAUCAAGUUUAAAUGGGCCGGCCCAACUAAAGGCCCACAAGAUUUUGCAGACCAUAAUGGGCCGGCCCAGCUAAAGGCCCACGAGAUUUUACAGACCAUAAUGGGCUAGCCCAGCUAAAGGCCCACAAGAUUUCGCAGGCCAUAAUGGGUCGGCCCAGGUAAAGGCCCACAAGAUUUUUGUGUGCCAUAAUGGGCCAGCCCAGGUAAAGACCCACAAAAUUCUUGCGGAUCAUAAUGGGCCGGCCCAGCUAAAGGCCCACGAGAUUUUGCCGACACUAAUGGGCCGGCCCAGCUGUAGGCCCACAAGAUUUUGAGGACCCUAGUAGGCAAGCCCAUUAACUGGCUGCCAUGUUUUGGGCCAAAUGCUGGCCCAUAUUUGAUCCGAUCCAUUAAUGGCCUGCCACGUUCCGGGCCUAGUAAUGGCCCAUAUGAGACCCGGCCCGUUAAAAGCCUCCCACGUUCUGGGCCAAAUCACGUCCCAGAUCAGGUCCGGCCCUUUAAGAGGCUUUGGCCUCAAUUAUGGCCCAUAUCAGAUUUAGCCCGUUAACCACACGCUAUGCUUUUGGGCCCACUUGAAAAAGGCCCAUUUAGUAAAUCAGUCUGAUAUUAGUUUGGGCCUGUUAAGGGCCCGUUUAACAUUUCAGCCCUAUAUUAAUUUCGGCCUAUUAAAAGCCCGUCAUAUAGUUGGGCCUAACUACGGCCCGGUUUGCAUACGGCCUGCUCGCAAUCGAUAUCUGAUUGGGCCAAACAAGGACCAAGACAAUUUUGGCCUAUUAAAACCCCGUGAUUUGAUUAGCACAAUCAUGGGCCGGGGUCCAUUUCGGGCUGCCGCCAGCCCGUGAGCUGUUCGGCACGUUUCAGGCCCAACCUACUUCUCAGCCUCCUAAAAGCCCAUUGAGUUUUCUUGCGAAAAGAGUGCCGGGGGUUACUCGACCUAGUAAAGGCCCGAAUCUACUAGUGGGCCAGUUUGACGGGGCCCAUGAUGCGGAUCAUACAUCGUGAUUGCAUGAUGGCCCGAUUAUGUAUCAUAAUUUUAUGGUUUGGCCGCUUUACUGUGAAGACAGGAUAUAUAUACAGGAAAAUAACUGCAGCAUCGUGAAUAUGAAAAACCUAGACUAUACAACAAAGAAAUUACGGCAUAUUACAUCCACUAAGCAUCAAAGUUUGCCACUAUGAUAAUAAAGCACAAGCAGACAGCAGAUUACAUACACUGGGCAUCAAAGAUCGCCACCAGUGCAAAUAAACACGCCGACAAAAUAAUAUACAAAACCGAUAGCACUUCAAUAGAGUUCAAGAAAGAUUAGCCCUGCUGGCGAGUUGCAGCGCAAGCACCCGAGCAAGAUGAUGAGACUACGCUUGUUCAACACUUAUAUCUUCCUCACUCUGAAAGAUAAACAAGCAGACAGAUGACAGGUUUUGCACAUAAAAGUAUCAGUGCUGACAAUUCAUCACAUUUAUUACUAACGAAUAAAGUGACACAGUUUAAAAAUGCAUUAACACAAUAUGGUAUUGUUCAGGUCAAGACAUGGCAGGAAAUGACAUUGUCAAGGAGUUGGCAGCUUCACGACACCACUGGAUUACAGAUCAAGAACUCAUAAGUAUCAAUGCUUAGUGUGCUGUCAAUUUAUCCCAUUUCAGAUUGGCAAAUAAAGAGACGGUUUAAAUAAUAGUAGAAUGAUAUGACAUUGUUCAUAGUUAAGACAUUGCAGAAUAUGACAUUGUGCUGUAGUGGAUAGGUUCACCACACCACUGGAUUACGGAUGAAAAAUAGAAGCAUACAUGCAGUGCAAAAAAGAUCACUUGCUCUAUAUAGUUUAAUUUACAUGGUGAAGGAACUUGGUUGUACAACUGAAAACUUAAAUUGAGAAGGACAAACUUUUUUUAUGAACUAGUACAUAAUAAACUUUAAACAUGUAAUUUGAUGCAAACACCAAAAAUAAACAGCUGUUGCAGUCAUGCCUAACCAAAUAUACACAACAAAGUUUGAAGGCUUGAGAAGGACAAACUUACAUUACUGGUGAAGACAGGCUCUAUAAAUCCCUUGUCCAUGCUAAUGGGGGGGGGGGCAAUUCAAGAAGUUUACCACAUAAUCUUCUUCAUAAGCAUUACCUUUAUUCUACAUUUUGUUAAGAGUAUAUAUAGAUGUGAUAAUAUACCAAAAAAUGGAGAAUAUUUAAGAUAAGAUGAAGAGUGAUGCUACAUAAACAAGUAGCUAUAAAUGUAUGUGCAGCGAUACAGGCAAAAUGCACAUCCAAGAGCAAUGCACAACUGAACUUCUUCAGUACCAACCUUAUGGUAAGAGUAAAUAUAGAUCUGAUGUGUAGAAAAUGGAGGGAAAAGGAAAAUAAGCUGCAGAGUGAUAGUACAUGAACAACUACCUAUCAAUAUAAGUACACUGAUAAAGCAGCAUGUACUUACAAACAAUGCAGAGCUAAAAAAAUCAUUGGCAUUGGAUAUAUUCUACACUAAUGUAACCAUUUAUACAGAUCAGAUAAUUUGGAGCAAACAAUUGAUAAGCAAGCUAUCAUGCAUACCACUGUCACAUAAUGAACCAGGUAUGUAUGCAAGUACAGUGAUACAGGACAACAUGUACUAACAAGAGCAAAGCAGCGGGCAAGAUAUUUGCGAUAUCCUGUCGUUCUUUUCGAACCGGAAUUCUUCUUCGAGCAGAUUUCUUGCAAAAAAGAUCCGUAAGGCACAUGCGGAAAAGUAGAAGUUCAAAUUGUCAUGUGAUUUCAUAGACAGUACCUCAUCCUGGGAACGAGACCAGUGCAUAACAAGGUCUUUCCAUUCAAUGUCUUCUAAAUUUAGCACAAGAGACUUCACCGAAAAUUCGUUUAUAGACUUGCCAUCAAAGUGUGAUUUCCUCAGGUAACACCGAUACUGCUGCAAUGCUUCCUUGAAAAGCACAAGCAAGCUUUGCUCGUCAUGACUAUCCAGAUUGACCCUCGCCUAGUUACAACAAUGUAAUGUAAAUCAUUGAUGUGUUCGAUCAGCAGAAAACAAGAAAAUAAUUACCAUGAAUAAUAGCACUUACACGUAAGUUGGACAGGAAGAUGUGAAAAUGGUGUUUGUCUUCACUAUAAUCUUCCCAUGAUGGGAAUAUAUGCACGUAGUCCCUAACAACAUUGAAAGCAUUGUAUUUUAAACUGGGAAUAAAUGGAAUGGGGUUCCAAUCUGCAGGAAUUGGCCGUCUCUGCAGUUGGGAUAGGUCUUCGGCCGGUGGACUUGCUGUACUUUUUGCUGGAGUGGGAUUUUUCUGUGGUACGACUGGUGCUAUGGCAAAUGAAAUCGGUAUACCUUUUGCUGGAGUGCAGGUCCUGUGUGGUGGGGCUAGUGGUGUGGCCAGUGAAGUAUGGGUACAGUCUGCUAGAGUCGGUCCUACGUUUUGUGUCACUGGUUGUACAAUCAAUAUAAGUGGGGCAAUGUCUGAUUUCUCCGGCACCACAACGUUUUUCAAGGACUUUGCUGGUGCUCCUUCGGGUUCGGCAAUCACCCUCUUCCUUUUUGAUGUCUGAUGCACAAGAACAACAUUUGAGUGAAAAAACAUGGUAUGAUGACAGAUGGAAUAUGUAUUGAUAAUGGAUGGGCAUGGCAUCUCGAGUUAUAUGAUGAGUAAACUAAGCAGAUGGCGGUGCAACAAAGUAGAAGAAAUGCAAGACAACAUAUGCAAGAUAUGCGCAAUCAAUAAAACCUUGCCAAAUUAGAACAUGCACCUUGAUGGGUGAACAGGACAGACCAUCUGCCUUUGAAUCCUCGAGGUUAGAAUAGUCAUUAGAAUGAUAUUCUGAACAAGAAUCAACAGGUGGGGAGCGUAUGAGUUUCAUUGCUUCCAGAAUGGCACUCAAUGCCUUGGUGCCAAUUUUGUAAGUCAUUGCAGUGUUCCACAAUAUUCUUCUGAUGCACAAAUUCUGAUAUUCACUGUAAUUGUGCAUAAUAUCUGAGAACCAUGAAAACAUAAAUAGUUGUUAGAUUAUCUUUGUAAUGCAGAUGAUAUUCUAAUAUAGGGGCGCCCAUGUAAACACUUGUGUGCUAUCACUGAAUUCUGAUGAGAGAGCUCAUGUGUGCUGUAAUAUGGUGCGUGCAUUUAUAUAAUCUGGCACAAGUACAAAAAAAUAGGCUCCAGAAGUAAGGAUAGCUGGCAGAUGAUAGGUUCAUAAUAUACUGUAUAGAGAGUUUAUUGCCAAACCAUGAUAACAAGAGCACACAACAACUAGGCAGAUCAUAGUGUACAUAACAGGGGUACACCAUAACCACGAUAUAUAAAUCAGGAAAGUGGAACUGGCUUGAAAAUACGGUGUUGUAUUGCCGCUAGUAAUUGAAAGCCUAUCGAUCACGUACAUGCCAGCUCUAUCAGCUGUUGACUGUAGAUGUCCCUGCGCCCCUUCCUGACAAGGAACAUACUGUAUGUACUAAAUACAGAAUAAACAAAGAGGAACAUGUUAAAGAACAGAAGAGGAAGCAUAUUCUUGAGGUUCCGCUUCAUUGCAUACAAUGUUGGUUGCCCACUCAUGAUGAAUCACAACACCCAAAGAAAUGCAAUGCCAUGCUAUCUCUCCAUAUGUGGCAAUUUUGAACAAGAGUCAUUAGGAUCAUAUUCUGAACAAGAGUCAACAGGUGGGGAGCGUAUGAGUUUCAUUGCAUCUAGAAUGGCACUCAAUGCCUUGGUGCCAAUUUUGUAAGUCAUUGCAGUGUUUAGCUUCAAGAGUGGACUGCUGCUAGUGCGACACAAAGCAGCUACACAGAUCAUAGUGUAGAUAUAACAGGAAAACCUUAAGCAUCAGAGUAAAAUCAGCAAAGUGGAACUUGCUGGAAUAUAUGUGCUAGUUUGCCGGUAUGGCUAGAAAGGCUUUGGAUACCAUCUCUCUUCAAGUGAAGGUGCGGUACUGUUAAUAUCAGUGUAACUCUCAAAGGCGACACAACUCCCUGCAUUUCCUUGCUAUUCUUAUAGGAUUCAAGUGGGUAGGCCACUACAAAUCCUAUUCCUAUGUUUAUAAGAUCCUACAAAUCAAAGAGGCUCAAAGUAUCCAUCACAACCGACCGUAUAGACCUCUACACUACAAAUGUCCCUGCUCAUCUUCAGUACAAGGAACAUACUGUACUACUAUCAUACUCCCUCCAUUCCAAAAUAUAAGUCUUGGUAGAGAUUUCCACUAUGGAUCACAUACAGAUGUAUCCAGAUACACUUUAGAGUGUAGAUUCACUCAUUUUGCUCCAUAUGUCAUGGUGGAAUCUAUACAAAGACUUGUAUUUAGGAACGGAAAGAGUACAUAUUAAAGAAGAACGAAAGAGGAACAUGGUAAAGAGGAGCAAGCAGAUUUUGGAUAAUAAAAUGUUGGUUGCGCAGUGCCCACACAUGAUGAACCAGAGCGCAUUAAGAAUGCAACUCCCAGCUAUCUCUCGACCAUUUUAGGCGGUUGGAUGAAGAUCCUACGUCUCCUAACCCAUAUUCUUCCCCGUCUCUGAUUCUUCCCAUACAGAACACCACACGGGCCGCCGGCCGGACCACCGACCCCCACCGCCUGCGUUCCUCCGCCACCCCCACCCCCACCCCCGCCCCAACCCCCACCAGCGUCGAGUUUUCUUCAUUCGGCGAGUCCCCACAACCACCCGAGCCCCUUAGUUUGCAUCGGCGAACUCCGGCAAGCUCUGAAAAAUUUAGUUGAAAGUGCAACUAUCCCUAGGUGGUUUUGGUAAUUCAUAACAACAUAUAGCUCAUUGAGCUAAUGCUAUUCCAAGACUAUUAUUUGAGGAAGCUCAAUGAAUGGCAUGGCAUGGAUGAUGAAAGUGGAUCCCUCAAAAUAUCAAGGACAAAGGAUUGGCUCAAGCUCAAAAGCUCAAGACUCUACAUUUUAUAUUUCAGUGAUCCAAGAUCACAUUGAGUCUAUAGGAAAAGCCAAUACUAUCAAGGAGGGAUGAGGUGUUGCUUAAUGAGCCUCUUGCUUCAAGUGCUUAGUGAUAUGCUCCAAAUACCCUCAACUACUUUCUCACAUCCUCAUAUGACCUAAACCUAAAGCCAAAAUAGGUCACACCAAUUCUUUCUAUCCGGUGCCACCGAGUUCAAAUGUCUUAGCCACUGCCACAAACCCUAGGCAAAUCGGUAUCACCGAUAGGGAUUUCGGUCUCACCGAGAUGGGAUUGUAAUCUCUCUGUUUCCCUUCGAAUGUUUCGGUCUAACCGAAGUGAGCGAUCGGUCCCACCGAGAUUGCAAUGUAAACUCUCUGUUUCCCCUUUGUAACAUUUCGGUCUCACCAAAAAGAGCAAAUCGGUCCCACCGAGUUUACCUGACCAACUCUCUGGUUAGCUAAUUACCAAAAUUGGUCCCACCGACUUUGUGUAAUCAGUCUCACCCAGAUUACGUUAUGCCCUAACCCUAACCAUAUCGGUCCUACCGAGUUGCAUGUCGGUCCCACCGAAAAUCCUAACGGUCACUAGGUUUACUAAAUCAGUCUGACCGAGUUUGUUGAUUUGGUCCCACCGAGAUUGGUAAAUUGUGUGUAACGGUUAGAUUUUGUGUGGAGGCUAUAUAUACCCCCCACCUCCUUUUCAUUCAUGGAGAGAGCCAUCAGAACAAACCUACACUUCCAACUUACCAGUUCUGAGAGAGAACUACCUACUCAUGUGUUGAGGCCAAGAUAUUCCAUUCCUACCAUAUGAAUCUUGAUCUCUAGCCUUCCCCAAGUUGCUUUCCACUCAAAUCUUCUUUCCACCAGAUUCAAAUCCUAUGAGAGAGAGUUGAGUGUUGGGGAGACUAUCAUUUGAAGCACAAGAGCAAGGAGUUCAUCAUCAACGCACCAUUUGUUACUUCUUGGAGAGUGGUGUCUCCUAGAUUGGCUAGGUGUCACUUGGGAGCCUCUUACAAGAUUGUGGGUUGAAACAAGGAGUUUGUAAGGGCAAGGAUAUCGCCUACUUCGUGAAGAUCUACCGCUAGUGAGGCAAGUCAUUCGUGGGCAACGGCCAUGGUGGGAUAGACAAGGUUGCUUCUUCGUGGACCCUUCUCGGGUGGAGCCCUACAUGGACUCGCGCAGCCGUUACCCUUCGUGGGUUGAAGUCUCCAUCAACGUGGAUGUACGAUAGCACUACCUAUCGAAACCACACCAAAAACAUUCGUGUCUUCAACUGCGUUUGAAUCCUCCAAACCCUUCCCUUUACUUUCUUGCAAGUUGCAUGCUUUAAUUUCCGCUGCCUAUAUACUCUUUGCAUGCUUGCUUGAUUUGAGUGAUGAUUGCUUGACUUGUCCAAAUAUUGCUAAAAUCUGCCAAACUCUAAAAUUGGGAAAAGGUUAAGUUUUUAAUUGGUCAAGUAGUCUAAUCACCCCCCCUCUAGACAUACUUCAAGGUCCUACAAGUGGUAUCAGAGCUUUGGUCUCCAUUUGCUUUGAUUUCCAUAGCUUUUGAUGGUCAUAGCCUUGGUUUCACAACCUAGGAGAGUAUGGCGUCUAGCGAGGGAAAUUAUCACCGUAGAGGUCCUUACUUUGAUGGAACUAAUUUUGCUAGUUGGAAGCAUAAGAUAAAAAUGCAUAUUCUUGGACAUAACCCCGCCGUUUGGGCUAUUAUUUGUAUUGGCUUGCAAGGUGAAUUCUUUGAUGGGAGAGAGCCGAACCGUGAAGCUAAUGCGGAAGAAUUAAAGAUGCUGCAAUACAACGCUCAAGCUUGUGAUAUCCUCUUCAAUGGUUUAUGCCCUGAAGAAUUCAACAAAAUCAGCCGUCUUGAGAAUGCAAAGGAAAUUUGGGACACUUUGACUGAUAUGCAUGAAGGUACCGACUCCGUCAAGGAAUCCAAGUUGGAUGUGCUCCAAAGUCAGCUUGACAAGUUCAAAAUGAAGGAUGGUGAAGGUGUCGCUGAAAUGUACUCUAGGCUUGCUCUUAUCACAUUGCCGGCUUAGGGAGUGAAGAGAUGACCGACCGAUUCAUCAUCAAGAAGAUCCUAAGAGCAUUGGAUGGAAAAUAUGAUACCGUGUGCACAUUGAUUCAAAUGAUGUCCAAUUACAAGAAUCUCAAGCCAACGGAGGUCACUGGUAGAAUUGUUGCUCAUGAGAUGUCACUCAAGUAUAAGGAGGAACUUCACAACAAGUCAAGUGGUGCUUACAAAGCCUCAUGUGAAGCCCCCACAUCAUCAAGUGAGAAACAAACCUUCAAUGAAGAAUCGAGCUUAAUGGCGAAGAAUUUGAACAAAUUCUACAAGAGUAGAAGCAAAGAAAGAAGCUCUAAGUCAAGGUCCUACAAUGACAAGAGAUCUUCCAGUCGAGAGCGCAAUUGCUACAAUUGUGGGAGACCCGGACACUAUUCCAAUGAGUGUACGACACCCUACAAAAGAAGAGAAGAUUCUCCAAAAAGAAGAAGUAGAAGAGAAGAAUCACCGCCAAGAGAGACAAGGAGUAGAGAUGAUCGUUAUGAACGAAGACCCUCACGGAGAAGCAAAGAUUCGGAAAGGAAGGACAAGUCAUCAAAGAGCUACACAAAACGAAGACAUCAAGCUCAUGUUGGUGAAUGGGUAUCCGGUUCCGACUCUGAACAUCACUCCGAGAGAAGCUAUCACUCCGACUCUGAAUAUACUCAAGAUGAAGGUGUUGCCGGUCUAGCACUUGUGUCAACCAACUCCUAUGACAUAUUUGACUCACCAAAUGAAGGAAUUGGAAGAUGCUUCAUGGCUAAAAUCCCUAAGGUAACUCAUCCCGAGUAUGUUGAUUUCAAUAGUGAUGAAGAUGACUUGCUAGGUGAUGAUGAUUUACUUAUUAACAACUCUAGUGAUGAAUACUAUGAUGAAACGUCAAUUAAUCAUGCUAAACAAGAUAAAACAAAUGACAAUGAUAAGGAGAAGAAUGAGCUUCUAACUAAAGAACUAAACACUCUUAAGUUAGCUCAUGAAACUAUCUUCGAAAAUCAUCGAGAACUUUUAAGGGCUCAUGAGAAGUUACGCUUUGAAAAGCUCAAUCUUGAGCAAGAUCAUGAGUUCUUAAAGGCAAUCAAUGAUGAUCUUCGCAAGAAAAGUUCUUCUUAUAUUGCCAAGCGUUUACUCUUAUCUACUUACAUACCUCAAGUCAAGUCUAGUAACAAGAACAAGAAAGAUUCUUCCUCUAGUAGUAACAAUAACAAUGCUAAAUCCAAUAUUGUUGCUUCUAGUAGUUCUCUUGAUUCCACUAAUGAUUCUCUUAGCCAAGUUACACUUGAGCAAGAAAAUAGCUUAUUGAAGGGAAUUAUAGAGAAAGGUGUAUACAAGAGCCUUGCCGGGAGUAAGCAAUUCGAGGAAAUUGUACGCAAGCAAGGAAGGCACCGGAAGAAUCAAGGUGUUGGUUUUGAACGAAAGUUCAAUGCCAAUGGAGUUGAGUGGGAAGAAUAUCAAUACCCCAAGACGAAGUUUGUUCCUCAACAAGAGAAGUAUGAUCCUACUUCCUUCAAGGGGACACAAGCACAAGAUGAUCUUCCACCACAAGACCACAAGAACAAAGGCAAGGACAAGCUUCAAGAGGAGAUUGAUGCAUUUGAAGAAGCACCCAAGGCCUUGGUCAAGUGGGUUCCCAAGACUACGUCAAGUUCUACUUCAUCAAGCACAACUACUACACCAAGGAUUCCCAUUAAGAUGAUGUGGAUCCCGAAGAAGAAGAACUAGAGAGUUCUUGAGGGUGACUCCGCCAACAUUCUUCACUCAUAUCAUUAUGGCAAGGACAAGUGCAAUCAACUUCCACAUCUUUCACUAGUUCAAGGAGUCACAAACCCUCAUGUUGGUAAGGCAAGGGAAAAGGUAACCUAAUGUUUUCACGGACAUCAUAUUGUGUGUGCAUCACUCUAUGUCUAUGGAUAUUCUUGUUUGUUCCUUGUGGGACUAACCCGUGUAGGUAUUGAAAGUGCAACUCACUCCAAUGGAUUGCUCCAAAAGAUCUACAUCAACAUUGAGCAUCCACAUCUUCAACACCUACAUGAAGUCAUCAUUGACAAAACCCAAGGUUAGUUCAUCCCUCUAAGGGGGGGGAUCUCACAUCUAGGGGGAGCUUAACUCUAAAGAAUUGAGUCAAAGCAACUCUAAUGAUGUGAACACAUCAAUGCAUUAUGUAAAAGUGGUAACCCCACUUGAGCUUAAACGAUGAGUAUGACCUAUGAUCAAAUGUUCUCAUUUGACUCCUAAGUCAAUAUACUCAUAUAUAGAUGACCUAGUCAUCGCCAAUUGUUUGAUAGAUGCUAUAAUUGGUUGUGCAUGCUUUGCCACAUAUUUCAUUUGUCAUUUUAUUGUGUGAGCAUGUUGGUUGCAUAUUUUACUCAUUCAAGGACAUCCACUUGUUGUUUUGAUUGAUUGGCUUCUUUUUCUUUGGCCAAGUGGAUGGACAAGAAUUCCUAAGAACCUUCUCUAGCUAUCUAUACUUUUCUCGUCUCAAACUCUAUUCAUGCCACAUCACAAAAUUUGAUCAAGUCAGAUUCGAACCACUCUGUGUGAGGAGUACUUGGAGUCCCCGAUUCGUCAUAGACUUAAACUUCCAAAACUUCUUUGUAAUUUUCGGUCUGACCGAUUCCUCCAUUUCGGUCCUACCGAGAUCAGUAAGUCGAUCUAGGUUUUCAAUCUCGGUGCAACCGAUUUGAACUUUUCGGUCACACCGAGUUGCUGUAACUGUUAACAGUUAUGCAUCUCGGUGCCACCGAGUUGUUCCACUCGGUCACACCGACAGUGUCGGGCUAUAUAUACUCACGGGCAAAUUUUGGAAAACUUUCUCUGAAACUCCUCGCUCGCGCAUAGCUCGCUCUGCCUACUAGGUCUAUGAAUCGUCGACUUCAUCGCCAGCCGCCUCCUGUCGCCUGUCUCCACCGACGUCAAUGGAUUUCUUCUUCGCCAUUGCCGCCGUAGCGAGUUCACCGCCGAACUAGGGUAUGAACUCAAUCACAGUGCUAUCCUCAUCUAAUUCUCAGCACAUUGUGUUCGUAAUGCAUCUUGCCACGAUUGAAACACUCCUAUCCAGUCAAUGCGAUCCUUAGAAUAGUUGUGAUUCGAAAAUUUAGGGUUAGGUUUCCGCCGAAACCAUCUCGGACCCACCGAGUUGAAAAACUCGGUCCCACCGAUUUGGCUAACGCCAUUGCACUAGUAAGUCUCGGUCUGACCGAGAAUUACAAAUCGGUGUGACCGAUUUUAGAGCUUUGUGAAACCCUAGCAGUCUCGGUGCCACCGAACUGUGACUCGGUCUGACCGAGUUCACUAGUUUAGGUUCCAAAACUGCUUCGGUAUCACCGAGUUUGAAAAUCGGUAGAUCCGAAAUGCUUACUGUGGAAACUAAAACUAAGUUUUUUGAAUCAUUCUUUUGCAAAAAUCUUUGCAUUUUGUGAUGCUCAUCCACUCUAUCUCAUCUAUAACUAUUCACAGGGUCAGCAGUCAGUGAUUUGCAGCAUGUCAGACCAAAGUGAUAGUGAGAACAAGUUAGCAGAGCAGAUUCACAUGAGUGAGGGCACUAGUCCCUCUAGCAGCUCAGAUGAGGGGAGCAGAAGCACUCCCAGCAAUUUGCCCAAAGCAGCCACAAGAGCUAGAAGGAAGAGAACCUCAUACUCCGAGGAUGAGGAUUAUGUUGCUGUUGAAGAUGAGGCUACUUCCAAGAAGGUAGUGCUCAAGAAGGUGCUCAGUUCAACUGCAGUAAAGCCAGGCAUGAAGAUCAAAAGGCCAGCAGGAAGACAACCAAUGUCCAAAGCCAGAGGAUCAACUCAAGUACCUAAAAAGCCUGAUCCCAAAGAGCCAGCUGUAGAAGGAAAGAAAAGGAAGGAAAGGGUCAAGAAGACCAUGGCCAGAGUUGUUGGUGAACCUUCCAUGAUGGAAGAGGGAGAAGAGGUUGCUGAACCAGCACCAAGGCACAAAAGCUGAUGGGUGAUGCUAUAAAGUCAGGGGCUGCAACAUCAAAGCCCAAAGAAUCACCCAAAGAUGCCUCCAAGCCCAAGAUUGCACCAAAGAGAAAUACCAGGAGUAUACCAGCAACUUAGAAGAACAAGGCCCCAAUGCUUGAGGUUGCUGCUGAGGAAGAUGAAGAAGGGCGGAUCUUAAGGAAGCUGAAACCCAAGAUCCCAGACCACAAUGAUGCUCAUCCUGUGGCUGAGAACAUGAAAAUCAGGAGAGACUCAGGGUUGAGGCUAUGGAGAGAGUCAGAUCCAUAUGCCACCAGGAGAAGGACUGCUGUAGAUUACAGGUUCCACACCAAGGAGUAGCAGGACUUCUAUGAGACAAUCCUGUUGGACAAGAAGCCCAUAGUGUGUGAUAUGAGGUGGGUCGACUGGACCUACAUGAAGGAAAAUGAGGAACACUAUCCUGGAGUGCAAGACAGUUUCAUUGCUUAUGGAGUUGCAGAUUUUGUUGGGUAGAAGCUCACCAACUGGAAUGAUGAACUCAUUAUGCAAUUCUACUCCACAUCACACUUCUAUCCAGAUGGCAGGAUAGUUUGGAUGUCUGAAGGAACGAGAUACCAGUCAACCAUUGAGGAAUGGGCAAGCCUGAUCAAUGCCCCAGAGGAGAGUGAAGAUGACUUGGAUAUUUAUGCCAAGAAGAAAAUGGAUCAUAACUCAAUGUCACAUAUGUACAAGGAGAUCCCUGAUGAAGCACUUGAGAUUUUCAAGUUUGGAUCAGUUCAUUUUCUUCUGUCAGGGCUGCCUACGAUCAACCAGAUCUUAAGGCACACUCUUUUGCCCAAAUCAGGUGAUCACAACAUGAUUAGAGGGCAUGCAAUAAACUUGCUACAUGUAUUUGAUGUGUCCCAGAAAUCCAAGGUCAUGAGCCUUAUGGUUGAAACUAUCAAGAGGACUGCAGCAGACUAGAAGAGAAGUUGUGGAUAUGCCCCACAGAUUCAGGAGUUGAUUAACUCAAAGAUGGGCACAGGAAAAUAUCAGUUGGAUAAAGAACAAUUUGCUCUCUAUCCAGACUUUGAGGACAAUCAAGUUGUCAUGAAUGAGGAUGAACCAUCAUCAGUGCAAUCUCAAGCGAAGAAGGAGAAAGCAAGUAAAGAGAAGGCUGCCAAGAUGCCAACUCAAGAGGAGGCAUUUGAGUAUUUCUUGAAGAACAAGCAGGAGCAGCUUGGUUACUUGAUAGCAUCAACACUGAGGAUUGAGAAGGGGUUGGCCACCCUAACUCAAAACCAGGAGAGCCUGGAAAGGAUCAUGGAACAAAAAUUCUAUGAUCUUGAUGUCAAAGUAACUGAGAUUCAGUCAGUUGUGGAACAGCUUCAGGAUGACAUGCUGGAGAGGAAGGGAAAGACAACCACUGAUGCAUUUGCCAGAGUGCCUAGAGCUCAGAGGUUAGCUACAUUACCUGUGACAGACACAAGAGCCACAUCAUCUGCACCAGCUACAACUCCUACAGCUCCAGUGCAACCAGCUCCAGCACCAACUUCUCCAGCUCCAUCUACAUCGACUGAAGCCUUCAUUCUUGGAGUUAUCCGGACACCACCACCACUUGAAGACCAAGCCUGAGAGACGAUCUAGCACUAUGCAUUUUCUAUGAACUUUUUGGUAACUUGUUGCCAAAGGGGGAGAAAAAUGUAUAGAUCAUAGGCUUCGAGAGAGAGAUUUGCUGUUUUUUGUUCUCUCUUGUCUUCUUGGUUAAACUUGUUUGCUUUUGAUUGCUUGAGAUACUAUGCAAUUACCUGUGAGACAUUGAUGAUCAUGUGUUUGAUCAUAAGCUACACUUAUGCCUGUUUGAUGAUAUUAUCUUACCUAUCCUUAUAUGAUCAUUCACUUUGCUUGGUGAUGAGUGCAUGUAUUCAAUCUUUAUUAUUUUUAGCGCUCCACCAAGAUGUAUGUGACAUGGAAGAGUAACCCAUGAGCCUAUUUCCUUGUGCAUUUGCAGUCCAAAGCAAAUCUUAAAAUAUGCACAAAUUUAGGGGGAGCUCUUGCUUAUCACAUACUUCUCAAAGUGACAAUGUUUUUCAAUCUUAUUAUCAUUUGUCGAAGCUUUGAUCUAUAUGUUCUCAUCAAUUACCAAAAAGGGGGAGAUUGAAAGUGCAACUAUCCCUAGGUGAUUUUGGUAAUUCAUAACAACAUAUAGCUCAUUGAGCUAAUGCUAUUCCAAGACUAUUAUUUCAGGAAGCUCAAUGAAUGGCAUGGCAUGGAUGAUGAAAGUGGAUCCCUCAAAAUAUCAAGGACAAAGGAUUGGCUCGAGCUCAAAAGCUCAAGACUCUAUAUUUUAUAUUCCAGUGAUCCGAGAUCACAUUGAGUCUAUAGGAAAAGCCAAUACUAUCAAGGAGGGAUGAGGUGUUGCUUAAUGAGCCUCUUGCUUCAAGUGCUUAGUGAUAUGCUCCAAAUACCCUCAACUACUUUUUCACAUCCUCAUAUGACCUAAACCUAAAGCCAAAAUCGGUCACACUGAUUCUUUCUAUCUGGCGCCACGGAGUUCAAAUGUCAUAGCCACUGCCACAAACCCUAGGCAAAUCGGUCUUACCGAUAGGGAUUUAGGUCUCACCGAGAUGGGAUUGUAAUCUCUUUGUUUCCCUUCAUAACGUUUCGGUCUAACCGAAGUGAGCGAUCGGUCCCACCAAGAUUGCAAUGUAAACUGUCUGUUUCCCUUUUGUAACAUUUCGGUCUCACUGAAAAGAGCAAAUCGGUCCCACCGAGUUUACCUGACCAACUCUCUGGUUAGCUAAUUACCAAAAUCGGUCUCACCGAGUUUGUGUAAUAGGUCUCACCGAGAUUACAUUAUGCCCUAACCCUAACCAUAUCGGUCCCACCGAAAAUCCUAACGGUCACUAGGUUUACUAAAUCGGUUUGACCGAGUUUGUUGAUUCGGUCCCACCGAGAUUGGUAAAUUGUGUGUAACGGUUAGAUUUUGUGUGGAGGCUAUAUAUACCCCUCCACCUCCUCUUCAUUCGUGGAGAGAGCCAUCAGAACAAACCUACACUUCCAACUUACCAGUUCUGAGAGAGAACUACCUACUCAUGUGUUGAGGCCAAGAUAUUCCAUUCCUACCAUAUGAAUCUUGAUCUCUAGCCUUCCCCAAGUUGCUUUCCACUCAAAUCUUCUUUCCACCAGAUUCAAAUCCUAUGAGAGAGAGUUGAGUGUUGGGGAGACUAUCAUUUGAAGCACAAGAGCGAGGAGUUCAUCAUCAACGCACCAUUUGUUACUUCUUGGAGAGUGGUGUCUCCUAGAUUGGCUAGGUGUCACUUGGGAGCCUCCGACAAGAUUGUGGAGUUGAACCAAGGAGUUUGUAAGGGCAAGGAGAUUGCCUACUUCGUGAAGAUCUACCACUAGUGAGGCAAAUCCUUCGUGGGCAACGACCAUGGUGGGAUAGACAAGGUUGCUUCUUCGUGGACCCUUCUCGGGUGGAGCCCUCCGUGGACUCGCGCAGCCGUUACCCUUCGUGGGUUGAAGUCUCCAUCAACGUGGAUGUACGAUAGCACCACCUAUCGGAACCACGCCAAAAACAUCCGUGUCUCCAACUACGUUUGAAUCCUCCAAACCCUUCCCUUUACUUUCUUGCAAGUUGCAUGCUUUAAUUUUCGCUUCCUAUAUACUCUUUGCAUGCUUGCUUGAUUUGAGUGAUGAUUGCUUGACUUGUCCAAAGAUUGCUAAAAUCUGCCAAACUCUAAAAUUGGGAAAAUGUUAAGUUUUUAAUUGGUCAAGUAGUCUAAUCACCCCCUCUAGACAUACUUCAAGGUCCUACAUUAGUCUACUGUGAUUUAACUAGUGUGGAAUAUAAAAGGGGAAAACCAUAAGCAUUGGGAGUAUAGUGUUGAGCGUGCCAUGGCGGAUCUGAAGGUGCAAACCGGACAAAGGCAACUUCGCAACCAAGAUAAUAAAUCAGAGUAAAGCAGUGGCGAUCUAUUUUCGUGCUGCGAUAAAUAAGUUGAGCAGAUACGAAAGAGUACCGCCUCUGGUGCGGCGCCAUCUACGCAUCUGAUGAGAAUUUGACGGUGCUGCGGUAGCGAUGGCUGUCGGCGGCGUGGAAGCAGAUCUAGGAGGGUAGACGGUGGCGGUGGGGCGCGGUGGACUAGACGAUUGUAGGAGCGGCGCCGGCAAGGUGGACGAGGCGGGGAUGAAGCGAGAGGACGGGAUGCAAGGAUCCCGGUCCGAAGCCGUGGAUGAGAGAGGUCGAUCUCUUGUAAUGGACGGCAGCGUCGGCAUAUCAGCUCCGGCAUGGUGGAGGAGGACGGCGGUGGAUGGGGUGGCGGGCGGCGGCGAACGGAGGAGGGUGGGGUGGAGAGGGUGUUUUGGCGCCCACGGAGUACGAAUGGGGAAAGGGAGGUAGAGAGGAAGGGGGGAACCAUGUAUUCAGGGCGCGCUUGUCUCAAAUGCGAGGAAAUUUACAAACUUAGCCCCCGUUUCAAAUUUCUACUACAUCACAGCAACAUUAGUCUGUUGGGGAUAGGAUGGUAAUCUCGCAUGCACCGAAUAUUUGCCGACGAGAGAUUGUUUUUGGCGCCCACCGUGUAUGAAUAUGAAUCGGGGAGGGAGUCGAUUUCGGCCGAGGACACACUAUGUUUUGGCGCCCACCGUGUAUGAAUCCGGGUGAGAGGCGGUUACGUCACGUUUGGGUGAAAUUACAAACCUACCCCUAUCGAAACCUAUAGAAAUCCAGCAGAUAGGCUUUGCGUGGUAGGGAUAGGCAGUAGUAAUUUCCAUCUCGCAGAUUUUGGUUUCGGGCGGUUACUGCGACUUUCCCCGCUUCGUUCAAAUUUUGCACAGUGCAUGUUUACUGUGCCAACUCAAUUCGAAUCCCGUUUGUAUUCUAUUUUUUUUCGGGUGGGAUCCAUUUUCAAUUGGAAUUACAUUCUAUAUACAUCAUUUUUUAUAUAUACUUUCAAAAGCACAACAAAGAAUUCUGCUCCUUUAUAUGUAUAAUAUGAUUUACACAUACAACGAUCUCAAAAUCUUAAGGUUGAAUUCGAAAAAAAUUAACCAAAUUAUGUUCUAUUAAAAUGUAUGGAUCAGUAAUAUCUACAUAUUAAAUAACAUAGGUGUGCGUGAAUUCAUAUGAGUAUGAAUGUUUGAUAGAUCAAUUUUGGUUCGAGUAUGGAUUACAUGUAUCAUCAUCUCGAAUUCAAAUAUUUGAAUCCCUUUUAAUUUUCACUCCUUUCACGCCCAUCUCUCUCGCAUGUAUGCUCCUUCAGGUAGCUAUCACUCUCUUUUCUCCAGCUCACCCGCACGCUCACUUCAUGUUUCUCCUAUCCUCGCAAACAUGGUCUCUCGACAUCUCCCUUGAGAAGUGUCACACUCCCCCUAUCAUUAUACUACACGGUUUUCAUUAUCUCUCACGUCUCUACUGUUCUCUGGUAUCACUCGGUACCUAAGCUUUCUUUUUCACCGCCACACACACAGUCUCCACUCGUCUUUCACUUUGUCUUUCUCUCUAUGGGAUUCUCUCACACACCCUAUAUGUCUCUACAUAUGACCCAUACCACUAAAAUUACUCUCUCUCUCUCUCUUUCUCCUGUAGACACAACAUUUGUUGCAGUCUCCUUUUCGUCUCCAUCCCAGACUGACAUUAUUCCUUUGUUUACCGGUCAGACAACCCCACCUCUCUCUCUCUCACAGAUACACACACACAACUCCUCCUUCCACUCCCCUUCCCGACUAACCUCUCUCUCUCGCACACACAAAACUCUCGCUUUUGCACCCCGACUCGUAUUUCUCUCACAAACAUUUAUCGACUAGCUAGCCUCUAGAUAGUUUUAUACACCAGCACACUCGUGCUUCCACUAUCGCAUAUAUGUCUCUCUCCCGCUCCUUGUAUCUAUGUAGAUUUUUCUUCCCUUCUUGAGACACGCCCCCUCGAUCGUGCACACACACACUAUCGCCUCAUUUUAAGUUGAUACCUAUCGCACACACAAUCCUUGUGUUUUUGUCACACAUGCACUCCGUCCUCCUCCAGUCUCCCUCUCUCUCACACACACAUGGGCUUUUUGCAACAACUAGCAAGAUGCCCAUGCGUUGCACGGAACAUCAAGAUGCAUUUGUAUGAGUAGUUUAUCUUGUGGGGGAAAAGGAUGAACGAGGGAAGGCCUUAUUUGCAAAUGUGGAGAGGGGUGUGUGUAUCUUUUUGCAAAAUUGCCAUAGUUUCCUUCCUAUCCGUCAGAUAUAGAUCAGACGACCUAUAUUGCAGGAUGGCAGGCACACGAUCAUCACCGACAAUGCUUUUUAUAAGAGUAGGGAUAAAAAAUAGAGUUGGUGAUGAUGGUGGGCCUGCCAUCCUACAAUGUAGGUCAUACGAUUUAUAUCUGACGGACAGGAAGGAAACUAUGGCAAUUUACCUGCACUCUUCACCACAUUUGCAGAUAAGGCCUUCCCUUGUUCAUCCUUUUCUCCCACAAGAUCUUGAUGUUCCGUGCAACGCACGGGCAUCUUGCUUGUAAGAGUAGAUAUUAGACAUAUACCACUUCUCGAAUCUUGAAACCAACAAAAUUCCUCCCUUAUCUCAUCAAAACCGCCAAAGGAAUAUAUUUUGAGUGAAACAUAACAUAUUUUUAGUGAUAUACGUAUUUUAAAACUAGACUUUUUUUCUAUCAAAUCGGUGAAUAUGUAUUAAUCUACUUUGAUCGUGUGGCAACGCAUUGGCACAUUGCUAGUAGUUAUUAUAAUUUUUUGGACACCAGACAAACGGUGGAGUACAUAUACGAAGAGAAGAGGUGCAUGCACGCAGUCGGCCUCUCGCUGUCUCGCACACAUGAGUGUUACGUAAAGGCGACGUUAAAAAAUAAACCCUAAAACCCUAGGUGCGCGAUUGCUGCAUUCGCGGGUACUGGGUACAUGGUGGGGCACCUUUGUAGGAAUAGUCAGCUCGCGUGAUAAUUUGAUCCAUAGGAGUUGAUGGUCGGGACCACAGGUGAACGACUUGGAGCGCGGUGGCUCGCCAGUUGCCAUAGAUCGAGUAGCCACGUGUCACAUCCCUAGCUGCUGGUAGUGCUCUAGGCUAGCUCAUGUGUGCAUCAUGUUUAAAUUCUGAAAAUUUGAACUGAGGGAAUUUUGGAAGCCUCAAAAACUUAAAUAAAAGAGGGGCAAAAACCCUAGAAAUCUCAUUCAUUGCUCCAAAAUGCUCUUCUUAAAUGUUUGAUAAUUUUUGGUAAGGGUUCUGGUCCCAACCAAAAUAUUGAACAUUUUUAAGGAUUUAUUUUUGGGACUUUGGAUUUAAUUCAUUAGCUAUUUGAAUUUGAAUUAUAUUCAUAUAAUUGGAAUAUAAUUUCAAAUACCCCUGAAAUAUUUUAUAAGCUUUUGGAAAAGUCCAUCUAGCAAUAUAAAAUAUUCAGAGGAGUUUUUGGCAUUGUUUGAAUUAUUUUAAAUUCAAAAACAGUGGCAAAAUAAAUUAAAUAAAUAAACAGAACAGAAAAAAAA
rnacentral:lncRNA from 1 species